rnacentral:lncRNA from 1 species
UACUCCUCCGGUGUUAAUGAGUUGCAUGAUCUCAUGGGCAUAGGAACACAUACUUGACAUGCAGGAAACAAUAGCAAUAAACUGACAUGACCAUAUGCUAUGUUCAUAGUUUGGGUCUAGUCCAUCACAUCAUUCUCCUAAUGAUGUUAUCCCAUUAUCAAAUGACAACUCAUGUUUAUGGCCAGGAAACCUUGACCAUCUUUGAUCAAUGAGCUAGUCCAUUAGAGGCCUAAUAGGGACACAAUGUUAUCUAUGUGCCCACACAUGUAUUUGAGUUUCGAAUCAAUACAAUUCUAGCAUGGAUAAUAUAAAAUUAUCAUGAACAAGGAAAUAUAAUAAUAACCACUUUAUUAUAGCCUCUAGGGCAUAGUUCCUAUAGUCUCCCACUUGCACUAGAGUCAAUAAUCUAGCUCACAUCACUAUGUGAUUUACAUUGUAAUGUAUCUAACACCCAUUCAGUUCCGGUUUGGAUCAUGUUUUGCUCGUGGAAGAGGCUUAGUAAAUGGGCCUACAACAUUUAGAUCUGUCUGCACUUUGCAAAUUUUUGUGUCCUCCUCCUUGAUGUAACCGCGAAUGGAAUUGAAGCAUCACUUUAUGUGUCUGGUCCUCUUGUGAAACCUUGGUUCCUUUGCCAGAGCAAUGGCACAAGUGUUGUCAUAGAACAGAGUCAUUGAGUCUAGUGCACUGGGCACAACUCCAAGAUCUGUCAUGAACUCCUUCAUCCACACACCUUCUUUAGCCGCAUCCGAGGCAGCUAUGUACUCUACUUCGCAUGUAUAAUCAGCUACCAUGCUUUGCUUGGAAUAGCACCAACUUACCACUCCCUCGUUGAGAAUAUAUGUGUAUCCGGUUUGAGACUUAGAGUCAUCGGGAUGAGUGUCAAAGUGCGCAUCGACAUAACCCUUUACGACAAGCUCUUGAUCACCUCCAUGAACGAGAAACAUUUCCUUAUUCCUUUUUAGGUACUUAAGGAUAUUAUUGACCGUUGUCCAGUGUUCCAUUCCUGGAUCACUUUGAAACCUUUUGGCCAUACUUAUGGCAAGGCUGACAUCUGGUCUUGUGCACAACAUUGCAUACAUGAUAGAGCUUAUGGCAGAAGCAUAGGGGACGACACUCAUCUUUUCUCUAUCUCUUGCAGUCACUGGGCAUUGAGUCUUACUCAACUUCACACCUUGCAAUACAAGCAAGAACCGUUUCUUGGACUGAUCCAUUUUGAACUUCUUCAAAACAUUGUCAAGGUAUGUGCUCUGUGAAAGUUCUAUUAAGCGUCUCGAUCUAUCUCUAUAGAUCUUCAUGCCUAAUAUGAAAGCAACUUCUCCUAGGUCCUUCAUUGAAAACUCUUGUUCAAAUAUUCCUUUACACUUCCCAAAAAUUCUAUAUUGUUUCCAAUCAGCAAUAUGUCAUCCACAUAUAAUAUUAGAAACGGUAUAGAGCUCCCACUCACUUUCUUGUAAAGACAAGCUUCUCCAUAAACUUGUAUAAACUCAAACGCUUUGAUCUCCUCAUCAAAGCACUGAUUCCAACUUCGAGAUGCUUGCACCAGUCCAUAAAUGGAUCGUUGGAGCUUGCACACUUUGUCAACAUUCUCUGGAUCAAGAAAACAUUCUGGUUGUAUCAUAUACAACUCUUCCUUAAGGAAACCAUUAAGGAACACUGUUUUGACAUCCAUCUUCCAAAUUUCAUAACCAAAAAAUGAAGCUAUUUCUAACAUGAUUCUGACAGACUUAAGCAUCGUUACGGAUGAGAAAGUCUCAUCGUACUCAACUCCUUGAACUUGUGAAAACCCUUUUGCCACAAGUCGAGAUUUAUAGACGGUGAAAUUACCGUAUGCGUCUGUCUUCUUCUUAAAGAUCCAUUUAUUCUGAAUGGCCUUUCUCCCUUCAAGUAAUACUUCCAAAGUCCAUAAUUAGUUUGCAUACAUGGAUCAUGUCUCUGAUUUCAUGGCCUCUAACCAUUUUUUGGAAUCCGGGCCCACCAUCGCUUCUCCAUAGCUCGUUGGUUCAUCGUUGUCCAACAACAUGACCGUUAAGACAGGGUUGUCGUACAACUCAGGAGGAGUGUGUGCCCUUGUCGACCUAUGAGGUUCGAUAGCAAGUUCAUCCAAAUAUCCAUGAUCAUCAUCAUUAGCUUACUCUUCAAAUCAUGUAGGUUCCACAUAAACAUAUUUCCGCAUUGCGCACUCUCUGUUUAAAGUAAAGGUUCGACAACCUCAUCAAGUUCUAUCUUCCUCCCACUCAAUUCUUUCGAGAUAAACUCUUUCUCAAGAAAUGUUCCUUUUUGGUGACAAACACUUUGCCUUCGGAUUUGAUAUCAAAGGUAUACCCAACCGUCUCUUUUGGGUAUCCUAUGAAGAUGAAUUUCUCCGCUUUGGGUUCGAGCUUUUCUGGCUGAUGCUUUUUGACAUAAGCAUCGCAUCCCCAAACUUUAAGAAACGUCUACUUUGCUUUCUUGCCAAACCACAGUUCAUACAGCUCAUCUCAACGGAUUUAGAUGGUGCCCUAUUUAAAGUGAAUGUAGCUGUCUCUAAUGCAUAACUCUAAAACAAUAGUGGCAAAUCACCUAGAGACAUCAUAGAACACACCAUAUCCAACAAGGUUCGAUUGUGACAUUCGGAAACACCAUUAUGUUGUGGUGUUACAGGUGGCGUUAAAUGUGAAACAAUCCACAUUGUCUUAGGUGAUUGCCAGACUAAUAACUCAGAUAUUCUCCCCCUCGGUCAGAUCGUAGGAAUUUAAUCUUCUUGUGACGACGAUUCUCAACUUCACUCUGAAAUUGCUUGAACUUUUCAAAUGUUUUAGACUUGUGUUUCAUUUAGUAAAUAUACCCAUAUCUACUUAAGUCAUGAGUGAAGGUGAGAAAAUAAAAAUAUCCACCGCGCGCCUCAAUGCUCAUCGGACCACACUCAUCAGUAUGUUUCAUUUCCAAUAAGUCACAUGCCCACUCCAUUGUUUUGGAGAACGAGGUUUUAGUCAUCUUUGCCCUGAGGCAUGGUUCACAUAUGUCAAGCGAUUCAAAAUAAAGUGACUCCAAAAGUCCAUAAGCAUGGAGUUUCUUCAUGCAUUUUACACCAAUAUGACCUAAGCGGCAGUGCCACAAGAAAGUAGUACUAUCGUUAAUAAUUAUAUAUCUUUUGGCAUCAAUGUUUUGAACAUGUGUGUCAUCACUAUCGAGAUUCAAUAAGAAUAUAUCCCUCACAUUGGAUGCAUGACCAUAAAAGAUAUUACUCAUAUAAAUAGAACAACCAUUAUUCUCUGAUUUAAAUGAGUAAUUGUCUCACAUCACACAAGAUACAGAUAUAAUGUUCGUGCUCAACGCAGGCACUAAAUAACAAUUAUUCAGGUUCAUCACUAAUCUCGAUGGUAGUUGAAGAGCGAUCGUGCCAAUGGCGAUCACAUCAACCUUGGAACCAUUUCCCACGUGUAUCGUUAUUUCGUCCUUCGCCGCCUCCGUCCAUUCCAUAGUUCCUUCUUUGAGUUGCUAAUGAGAGCGACCAGACCUCAAACAGUCCAGUCUCUAUGCAUCUGUGUCAUCCCUGGAUCGUUAAUGCUAACACACACAGUACUUGAGGAUUUAUAAGAGAGUUUCAAUCACACCCUUAUUACAUCGAAUGUCUCAAAAGAGAACUUAUUACAAUNNNNNNNNNNNNNNNNNNNNNNNNNNNNNNNNNNNNNNNNNNNNNNNNNNNNNNNNNNNNNNNNNNNNNNNNNNNNNNNNNNNNNNNNNNNNNNNNNNNNAAUGCCGAGUAUUUCGUAGCGACAAUCAUAACAUCGUAUUUACUGGUUUCCGUAGAGGUGAUCUAUACAUUGUUGAUUUCUCUAAGAUAUCCAAACCCCAUACAUGCCUUGUUGCAAAAUCUUCUAAAGGUCGGUUUUGGCAUAGAAGGCUUGGACACGUUGGUAUGCGUAAUCUUGACAAACUUAUCAAAGGUGAUCAUAUUAUUCGUGUUAAAGAUGUUAUCUUUGAAAAAGAUAGACUUUGUAGUGCCUGUCAAGCAGGAAAACAAGUUGGUGGAAGUCAUCCCGUGAAGAACAUCAUGACCACAAGAAGACCCCUAGAGCUGCUUCACAUGGAUCUCUUUGGUCCCAGUGCUUACAAGAGCCUUGGUGGAAAUUAUUAUGGUCUAGUUAUUGUUGAUGAUUUUUCCAGAUUUACAUGGGUGUUCUUUCUCAAUGAUAAGUGGCAGGUACAAAUGAUCUUCAACAACUUCGCUCGAAAAGCUCAAAACCAGUUUGAAGUGAAGAUCAAGAAGGUUCGGAGCGACAAAGGAAUGGAGUUCAAGAACACUAAUGUGGAUACUUUCUUGAUGAAGAAGGUAUCUCACAUGAGUUCUCGGCAACAUCCACACCUCAACAAAAUGGAGUUGUUGAGAGGAAGAAUCGGACGCUCAUAGAGAUGGCGAAAACGAUGCUUCACGAAUACAAGACUCCAAGACACUUUUGGGCAGAAGCCGUGGAAACAGCUUGCCAUGGCAUAAACCGACUCAACCUGCACAAUCUUCUUGGUAAAACGGCAUACGAGCUACUCACCGUUAACAAACCCCAAGUUGGAUACUUUCGAGUAUUCGACUCUAAGUGAUAUAUUCUUGAUACGCAUCAUCGAUCUAAAUUUGCACCUAAAUCUUGUGAAGGUUUCCUUCUUGGUUACGGAUCAAACUCUCACGCCUACCAUGUCUACAACAACUUCACUCGAAAAGUUGAAGAGAUGGUAGAUGUGAAAUUUGAUGAGACUAACGGUUCGCAAGUCGAACAAUUGCCAAUUGAUAUAGGAGAUAAGGAACCUUCGGAAGCUAUCAAAGAUUUGUCCAUUGGCAAGAUUCGUCCAAUGGAGGUGAAGGAAAGCACUUCAACAACUCACGUGGAAGCUCCUACUUCGCGUCAAGGCGAACCGCAAAAUGACAUGGAAGCAUCCACAAGCGGAACACGACAUGAUGAAGAAGAGGAAGAAGUACAUCGUGAUGAUCUACCUCAACCUUCCUCACCACCACCUCAAGGAGAAGAUGACGCCAAUGAUAAUGCUCAAGAUGAUGAUGAUGAAGAAGAAGAUCCUCCCCAAACAAGAAUAAGUUUUCAAGAGUUAGAGCAAGAGUGGACAGAGAUCAUCCGCUGAAACAAAUCUACAUCGACAUAAACAACGAGAGAAUCACUCGCUCUAAAUCUCGAUUAGCUAACUUUUGUGAGCAUUAUUUUUUCAUAUCUAGCAUUGAACCCUUGAAGGUAGAAAAAGCUCUCCAAAAUCCAGAUUGGGUGAAUGCCAUGCAUGAAGAGCUACGCAACUUUGAGAGGAACCAAGUUUGGACACUUGUCGAAAAACCAGAAGGCGAGCAGAAUAUCAUUGGUACAAUAUGUGUGUUUCGGAACAAGCAAUAUGAAGAGGGACAAGUUGUAUGCAACAAAGCACGUCUCGUAGCCCAAGGAUACACGCAAGUCGAAUGUAUGGACUAUGGUGAUACUUAUGCUCCUAUCUGUAGACUUGAAUCCAUUUGUAUUCUUCUAGCUUAUGCUAAUCAAUAUGAUAUAACUCUCUACCAAAUGGAUAUUAAAAGUUCCUUUCUCAAUGGAUAAAUUCAAGAGGAAGUUUAUGUUAAANNNNNNNNNNNNNNNNNNNNNNNNNNNNNNNNNNNNNNNNNNNNNNNNNNNNNNNNNNNNNNNNNNNNNNNNNNNNNNNNNNNNNNNNNNNNNNNNNNNNGGAUCUCUGGGAUGGAACCGGUUGACACAAGCCAGUUGACCUAUGCAUGCUCGAGUGAUAUAUUGCAGGGUUUGUGCUAGAUGAACCAUACCGUGGGGCGAGUCUGACGAAACUGAAUCACGAAACAGAGAUAUCUCUGUUGCCAGGACGGGAUGCACGCUGCGGCGGCUAGCUAGGGCUGCGGUCUGGAGGUGCGGGAACGGAGAGGUUCGUGGCCGAUGCUUGGGGAUGGGGCGCUAGGUCGCAGAUCCGUCCGCGGGGCAACGGAUCGAGACGGAGUUGGGGCGGGAUCCAUGGCAGGGUGCUCUAUCAACGCCAUGAGCGCACCUGCCGCUUUUGCUCUCCCUGGUCUCUACAGAAAAGAGACAUAGCUGCAGAUAUAAGAUGGAGCAGAGGGAAAACGGAGGGAGGAGAAGAGAGGGCAAGGGAGAGGUCCUUCCAAGACCUGCUACUCCUGUCGUAGCCGACAAGGCCGGCUUCGGGCGGUCGAGCGCGUCAGGGGCAUUGGGGCACCGCGGUUGAGCUCCUGCUGGAGCACAAGGAGCUCGAGCAGCUGAUCUGGACCAUGGGCGCGAGGGGAGCUGCAGACGGGCUGGAUCUGGAAACCGAGGAAGUAGGAGAAAGGGAGCAGGGAGAGGGCCGGCCUGGUCGGGAAGCAUGGGGAGAGGCUCCAUGGAACACCAGUGUUGGGGCUGCAAGGCUGGUCGGGAGGUGGAGCUUGAGGACGAGGUGCGGCUGUGGGAGGCUCGACGGGGAUUGGCACGGGGUGAUUUGGAUCGUAGGUGUGGGUGCCUAGUUGAUUCGGUGGGGAAAACAAGAAAGACAGUGGCGGCGGCGGCUGAUAGAUGGAUGGGACAGAUGGAGGGGAAUCCCUAGAAUUUAGGGUUGGGUUUAAAUUAGGCACGGGAGGGCUCUCUAUUCAUAGGAAACAUGCUAGGUUAGCGAUUUGCUCCGUUUUCGGGCCGUUGGAUAGUGUUCCGACGGCUCCGAUCGAAGCGGGUUGGCUUGGUGCGUUGGUUCGGCCGUGUAGAGUGGGUGUUGGGCUAAGACGAGAAGGAAAUGGUGCGACCCGGCAACAAUAUUUUAAAAUCGAGAAACGUUCGACGACAACCGAAUACGGUGCCGCUACGGUCGACCGUUCGGGUACCAUACGGACUCGGAUUGCGACAAAAUUGACAGGCGGCCUACAUAUAUCUAAAAAAGACCGCACGUCAAAUCUCAACCCAAUCAGAGAAACUUUUACGCACACUUAUAAAAAACAAGGAUUUGACGAAGCCGUGGGUGCGUGCGUGUGUGAACGGGCUAAGAACGAACAACGACGAGAAUCGACAACUAACAACGGAUGCAAGUUUGAAAUCUGGCGGCAACGGGUUGCCGAUGCAAUGUUGAUGAGGGGCAUGAUGCGAUGAUGAUGCGACAAAAGAAAAAUAGACACACGACGAAAACGGAAUAGAAGGGGAAUGUUCUAGAACGUCGGCAUCGGGCUGUCACACUCCGGCAGGACGAUCCUGCCGGGGAAACUUCCCUCCCGGAGGGGGAAAUCUUCGCCAUCGUCAUCACCAACACUCCUCUCGUCGGAGGGGAGUCAUCUCCAUAAACAUCUUCAUCAGCACCAUGUCCUCUCCAAACCCUAGUUCAUCUCCUGUAACCAAUCUCCGUCUCGCGACUCCUAUUGGUACUUGUAAGGUUGCUAGUAGUGUUGAUUACUCUUUGUAGUUGAUGCUAGUUGGAUUACUUGGUGGAAGAGUUUAUGUUCAGAUCCUUGAUGCUACUUAUUACAUCUCUGAUCAUGAUUAUGAUUAUGCUUUGUGAGUAGUUACUUUUGUUCCUGAGGACAUGGGAUAAGUCAUGCUACUAAUAGUCAUGUGAAUUUGGUAUUCGUUCGGUAUUUUGAUAUGUUGUAUGUUGUUUUUCCUCUAGUGGUGUUAUGUGAACGUCGACUACAUAACACUUCACCAUAUUUGGGCCUAGAGGAAGGCAUUGGGGAGUAGUAAGUAGAUGAUGGGUUGCUAGAGUGACAAAAGCUUAAACCCCAGUCUAUGCGUUGCUUCGUAAGGGGCUGAUUUGGAUCCACUAGUUUAAUGCUAUGGUUAGACGUUGUCUUAAUUCUUCUUUCAUACUUGCGGAUUCUUGAGAGAGGGGUUAAUCAUAAGUGGGAUGCAUGUCCAAGUAAGGGCAGUACCCAAGUGCCGGUCCACCCACAUAUCAAACUAUCAAAGUAACGAACGCGAAUCAUAUGAACAUGAUGAAACUAGCAUGACAGAAAUUCCCGUGUGUCCUCGGGAGCAUUUUUCCUCUUAUAAGACUUUGCUCAGGCUUGUCCCUUNNNNNNNNNNNNNNNNNNNNNNNNNNNNNNNNNNNNNNNNNNNNNNNNNNNNNNNNNNNNNNNNNNNNNNNNNNNNNNNNNNNNNNNNNNNNNNNNNNNNUAUAUCUUUCUUUUUAUUAACAUGCUAUGAUGAUGGGUGUCCACUCGUAAACCACAAAAACACAACUAAACUUUAUUAUAUAUCUCGCAUACUCGUUUACAAGGAUAGAUGGAACUCAAAGCAAAAAUUCUAAGCAAAGCAAAUCUGAAAUUUAUUUCUCUAAAUCACGAAACAACUAAGGAUCAAACUAAAAUACAUAGUAAUGAUGGAAGUGAUGGUGAUUUGAUACCGGGGCACCUCCCCCAAGCUUGGAACAAGCCAAGUGUGGUGCCCAUUCCAAAGUGCUCAAGCAUCCUUCUUAGGUGAUGGUGGUGGUGUAGGGGGGUGUCCUCAUUAAUCCAGGGUGUAGACUCCCCGUCACAGAAAUAAAUUUUUGUCUUGGGAGUUCUGAAACUAGCAGCGAAGCUCAUCCUUUGAAACCUAGAUUCAUACUCACAGUUUUGAUCUUGAAGUUCAUAAACUUAAUCUUGGAGGUGAUUAAUCCAAUCCUGAAGGUUAGAGAGAAUCUCCCGUGCGUUCUUGGUGUCCAACUUGUUUUCUCGGAUGAAAUCCGUGUUCAUGGAGUGGUUAGCACUCAGAUCACGCUCCACCAUCCCUUGGCACUUCAAGAUCUCCUAUUCCACCGUUGCAAGCUUGGCCUUCUCGCUUCUCUCCUUCUUGGGACCUUGAACAUGCCGGAUGUUAAGCACCCCCUCAUGCAUCUCAAUGGCUUGAGGGUGCCUCAUCAUCUCGUGUAGGUAGGAGUUGAUGACCUUAUCGAAGAACUUGUCCUUAGAAGGGCUUGGUGAAGUCAUGGCGAUCUAAAUAUGUCUGUAAAACAGCUCGAAACAAGAACAGAGGAAAAUUUUGCGAUGUGGUGGUAAAAACACCCGGGAGUAUAUAGGAUGAUUUUUUCCAAGUAAGAAUAAGUGAUGACGACGAAUUCGGAGUCUGGGAAGCGCACGAGGGCCCCACAAGAUAUCAUGGCACGGCGAGAGGGCCCUCCUAUUAGCUUGUGCCUCCCUCGUGGGUCCCCAGGACUCCAUUUUAUUUUAUUUUAAUUUUUCUAAAAUAACAAAACCAGCAAAAAAAGUUGGGAAUCUUUGGAGUCGGUUUGCUUAUCGUACCACGUACUUGCCCCUUUUUCAGGUUUCUCGAGUGUUCCAAAAAGUUUCCUUUAUGUGUUCCUCCGAUGUUAUGACUUGGAUGACGUUAGUAUCCUCGUUAAUGGGUGUACCUAAAAUAUAAUGCUUGAUUCUUUUCCCAUUAAGCACUCUAGGGUAUUUACCUUUGAAAUUAUUGAUUUUCAUACCACUAGAGCGAUAGACCUCCUCGACAACAUAGGGUCCUUCCCAUUCAGAGAAGAGUUUCCCUCAAAAAAUCUAAAACGAGAAUUGUACAAAAGCACUAAGUCUCAUACAUUGAAUUCUCGUUUUUGAAUUCUUUUGUCAUGCCAUCUUGUAACCUUUUCCUUAAAGAACUUAGCAUUUUCAUAAGCUUGUGUCCUCCAUUCAUUUGUGGCUAAUAUCGAAUAAUCUUUUCUCAUCGGCAAGUUUAAAAUUGUAGUUAAGUUCCUUAAUUGCCAAAUAAACUUUAUGUUCUAACUCAAUAGGUAAAUGACAAGCUUUUCCAUAGACCAUUUUAUAUGGGGACAUCCCCAUGGUAUUCUUAUAAGCAGCCCUAUAAGUUCACAAAGCAUCAUCAAGUUUCUUAGACCGAUUCUUUCUAGACCUUUUGACAGUCUUUUGCAAAAUUAAUUUUAUUUCACGAUUCCUUAGUUCCACUUGACCACUAGACUCAGGAUGAUAAGGUGAUGCAAUUCUAUGGUUAACAUCAUACUUAGCUAGUAACUUACGGAAAGCACCAUGAAUAAAAUAUGAACCACCACUAGUCAUUAAAUAUUUAGGGACACCAAACCUCGGAAAGAUAAUGUCUUUAAGCAUUUUAAUAGAAGUGUUAUGGUCAGUACUACUAGUUGGAAUAGCUUCUACCCAUUUAGUAACGUAAUCAACAACAACUAGAAUGUGAGUAUAUCCAUUGAAAGAAGGAAAAGGUCCCAUAAAGUCAAAACUCGACACAUCAAAUGGUUCAAUAGGAAGUGAAUAGUUCAUAGGCAUUUCCUGAUGUUUACUAAUAUUACCCACUCUUUGGCAUUCAUCAAAAUAAAGGGCGUACUUACGAGCAUCUCUAAAAAGAGUAGGUCAACAGAAACCGGAUUGUAAUACCUUGUGUGUGCAGUUCUAUCACCAGCAUGAUGUCCUCCGCAGUCCUCGAAAUGACACUUCCAUAGAAUUUGUUCCUGCUCAUGCUUAAGUAUUCAACGCCUAAUAACACCAUCUACUCCUUUAUAAAGAUGUGGGUCAUCCCAAAAGUAAUGUCAUAAAUCAUAGAAUAUAUUUUUUCUUUCGUUGAUAGGUGAAACUUGGUGGAAUAUAUUUAGCAACAAUGUAAUUGAAAUAAUACGCAUAACAAGGUGUACUACAUGAAGUGUUUACAACAGGAAGUUGCUCAUUAGGAAAAUUAUCAUCAAUAGGCACUGGGUCAUCAAGAAUAUUUUCCAUCCUAGACAAAUUAUCAUCAAUAGGCACUGGGUCAUCAAGAAUAUUUUCCAUCCUAGACAAGUUAUCUGCUAGAGGGUCAUCAACAAUGUCAUCAAGAAUGUUUACAACUCCCUUUCUAUCAAUGAUAUGCAAAUCAAAUUCUUGGAGUAGUAACACCCAUCUAAGAAGUCUAGGUUUAGCAUCUUUCUUUUCCAUGAGGUACUUAAUAGCAUCAUGAUCAGUGUGAAUAGUUACUUUAGAAUCAACAAUGUAAGGUCUAAACUUAUCACGUGUAAGCAUAACUGCUAAAAGUUCCUUUUCAGUAGUAGCAUAAGUUCUUUGAGCGGUGUCUAGGAUCUUACUAGCAUAAUGCAUAAAAUUCAAUUUCUUGUGUACUCUUUGCCAUAGAACAACAUCAACAACAUAAUCACUAGCAUCAAACAUAACUUCAAAUGAUAGGUUCCAAUCAGGUGGUUGAACGAUAGGUGCAUAAAUUAAGGCUUUCUGAAGUAUUUUAAAGGCUUCUACACAAUCACCAUCAAAAACAAAAGGAACAUCUUUUGGGAUAUGAUUAGUUAAUGGCCUAGAAAUCUUUAUUGAAACGCCUAUAGAAACUAGCAUGACCAAGGAAACUUUUUAUACCUUUGGCAUCUCUUGGGCAAGGCAUUUUCUCUAUCGUAUCAACUUUGGCCUUAUCCACCUCAAUACCAUGUUCAGAAAUUUUAUGCCACGCAGUAUGCCUUCAUUCACCAUAAAGUGGCACUUCUCCCAAUUCAAGACAAGAUUGGUUUCUUCACAUCUCUGUAAAACUCGAUGAAGGUGGCUCAAGCGAUCAUCAAAGGAACUCCCAUAAACAAAAAAACAUCAAUGAAGACCUCAACAAUCUUUUCAGGAAAGUCAGAGAAUAUAGCAUUCAUACAUAUCCAAAGGUAGCAAGUUCAUUGCAUAGACCAAAAUGCAUACACCUAUAAGCGUAAGUUCCAAAUGGGCAAGUAAAGGUAGUUUUCUCUUGGUCCACUUUUGACACAGGUAUUUGAGAGAAUCCAGAGUAACCAUCGAGAAAACAAAAGUGUGUGUGCUUAGAUAAUAUUUCUAACAUUUGAUAAAUAAAAGGCAAGGGGUAAUGAUCUUUCUUUAUGGACUUAUUAAAUUUCCUACAAUCAUUUACCAACCAAUAACAAGUUGCUAUCCUUGGUGGAAUAAGUUCAUUUUUAUUAUUAGGAACAACAGUUAUAACACCUUUCUUAGGAACACAAUGAACAUGACUCAUCGAGCUACUAUCAACAAUUGGGUAGAUUAUACCUGCUUCCAGAAGUUUUACUAUUUCAGUUCUUACCACCUCUUUCAUUUUAGGGUUGAGACGACAGUGAUGAACAACAACUGGUUUAUCGUCAGGUUCCAUAUUAAUCUUGUGCUGCCAGAUAGUGGAGAUUAUGCCUUUAAGAUCAUCAAGAGUAUAUCCAAUAGCAGCUAUGUGCUUCUUUAAAGUUUUGAGUAAUCUCCUUUCUUCAUGUUCUAAAAGGUUAGCACUCAUGAUAAUAGGACAUAUCUUCUUCUCAUCCAUAUAAGCAUAUUUCAAACUAUGUGGAAAAGCCUUAAGCUCAAAUACAUGAUCUCCCUCGGGUGGAGGAGGAUCCCUAAAAUUUCAACUGUCAAAUUAUGCUUAAUAAUAUGUUGUUGAUCAAGGAGUAUCCUAUCUAUUUCAUUUCUUUCAUUCAAAUGCAUAUCAUUCUCAUGGUCUAGCAAAUAUUGUUCUAGUGGAUCUGUAGGAUGUAUAAUAAUAGAAGCAAGACCAAUUAUUUCAUCCUUACUAGGUAAUUAUUUUUCAUGAGGCUGCUUUCUAAAUUAGAGAAGUUAAACUCAGGAGAAAUAUCACCAAAGAUCUCUUUAACCUUCUUAGUAGCACAAUUAAUUUCACCAUUAACCGUAUUCAAGAAAGGUCUACCAAAUAUGAUACGACAAAAAUUAUCUUGUUCUGAACCAAGUACUAAGAAAUCAGUGGGAUACUUGACCUUUCCAGACAACACCUCAACAUCCCUAACAAUCCCGGGUGGCGAAAUGUUGUCAUGGUUUGCAAGCUUAAUAGUGACAUCAAUUUCGUAAUCGGGGCUCCGCAGACCUAAGAAAAGGUUCGGAAUCUAGGGUGCACUCGCUCUCCUACCCUGUUCUACCUCUCAACUCCACAGUGAUUCUUCGACGGCACGAGCUAAGGGAAGGGAACUAGAACAAAUGGCAGUUUACCCAGGUUCGGGCCACCUUGGGGUGUAAAAUCCUACUCCUCCUUGUUUGGGAUUGCUUGAGGUGGAAGACGAGUACAAAUGUGGGUUCUUUUCCUAGCAAAGAUGAUGGAUCUCCGAUCCUCUACUACGGAGGCUAGGCCUCUCUUUUAUACUGGCCUUGGUCCUCUUCCUCUCUAAAAGCAUUGGCGGGAAAAGUUGCCACAACGACCGUUUUGAAAGGGGACAUGACUGUAGUCUGUCCUGACAAAGGUGGUCUUCGCCUGCAAAAGCUUCUCUUCAUGACAUGCUAGUGGGAUAGGGGGUGACCUCCGUCCUGCCGAGCACCCACCCUUAGUCCUCUUGCAUCUACCGGGAAACCUUUGGGAGGUUGCUUUGGGGCCAGUCAUUCGGCCUCGCUUCCUUAGCACGGAAGUGGAAAUCCUCCCUAUCUGUGCCUGCUCGCACUACCCUUGUGCCGCCUUCAUCACCUACAUGGAGGCGCAUGGCCGUGGGGCCCUGCCACGUCGCCCUCAGCGAGCUAGCCUCGCGAGAGCCUUAGGGGUGGCCUUGAGACACGCCCUUGCCAUGGGCAACCCCUCGUGAUCCUCAUCGGUGAUUCCUUGACGCUUGCCUCGCAAGGCAGGGGCCCUCGCGAGGGUAUUCCUUGUCGGGCUUGUCGAUGGAUCUCGUGGGUACAACGUACAACCUUUGCAGAGUGUCAAAAUAUUCGAAUAGCUGUGUCCACGGUCAAGGACAGUUGGGUGGUGCAGCUUAAACUACGUCUAGUGUUUUCCGCAUAAACCAAGUGUGCGUGUGUAAAAAGGUGUUACAUGAGAAAGUGAUUACUUGGGCAAGUUUGGUGACUUGACAUGGAGGAUGAACUGGAGGUGUUUUGUCCUUGAAAUAUUUAUGUUGAUAUGUGUAGCGUGUUCUUAUGGUUACUCUUUACCUAGUGAUGCAUGUCCAUAUAAAUACUUGACCAUGUUUAUGCAUUAAUAAAAACAUGCUUUUCGCAAAGGCUGCAUUGUACUUCGUAUUGCACUCAAUUACAUAAUCAACAUCAUGGGCUGUUUGUAAGUACAUUCAAAGUACUCAUUGGCUUGCCAGUGGUUAUUUCAUUGACCAGGAAAGAGAGAACAAGAGAUGGUGAAGAGUACCUUGGUGACGUUCCUGUGAGCUAGGACGCUUCCCAGUCAGAAUGCAUGUAGGUUAAGGCUGAGGGCAUGGGUUCACGCUUUCGACCAGUAUUUCCGCUAUUGGUCAAGUUUGCUAUAUGGGACUCCAAGGCCCUAUCUAUGUAAGACUUGACCGCAAAGGUCAUUAUUUGUAUCAGAUGGUAUGUAUGGAUGUAAGACUCUUGUUAUUCAGUUUCUGUGUGUUCAGUGAGCAUUGAUAUCGGGGAUCACUCAGCACGUUCAUCCGGCGAUCAUGACUCGUAAGUUGGGGUCCCCACACUAACCCAACAUGCCUCAUGACACGUAUGGCUCAGGCUCGGGGGCUUCUGUCGGGGUACACAUAUAGGGUGUUUAUUUCCCCUAACUUGUGCACGGACGACGAGCCACCGACCCGACUACCUAAGGCUGCCGGGGAAUGCUACAACUCCAUCAAGACCUGGCCACGACCAGAGAGGAACGCUAUUGAUGAUCCACAAGUGUAGUGGAUCUAUUGUAGUACUUUUGAUAAGUAAGAGUGUCGAACCCAACGAGGAGCAGAAGGAAAUGACAAGCGGUUUUCAGUAAGGUAUUCUCCGCAAGCAAUGAAAUUAUCAAUGACAAAUAGUUUUGUGAUAAGGUAAUUCCUAACGGGUAGCAAGUAACAAAUGUAACAAUGGUGCAGCAAGGUGGACCAAUCCUUUUUGUAGAGAAGGACAAGUCUGGACAAACUCUUAUAUAAUAAAAAGCGCUCCCGGGGACACAUUGGGGUUUAUGUCAAGCUAGUUUUCAUCAUGCUCAUAUGAUUCACGUUCGUUACUUUGAUAAUUUGGUAUGUGGGUGGACCGGUGCUUGGGUGCUUCCCUUACUUGGACAAAUAUCCCACUUAUGAUUAACCUCUCUCCAAAGCAUCCGCAACUACGAAAGAAGAAUUAAGAUAAAUCUAACCAUAGCAUGAAACAUAUGGAUCCAAAUCAGCCUCUUACGAAGCAACACAUAAACUAGGGUUUAAGCAUUUGUCACUCUAGCAACCCAUCAUCUAGUUAUUACUUCCCAAUGCCUUCCCCUAGGCCCAAAUAAUGGUGAAGUGUCAUGUAGUCGACGUUCACAUGACAGCACUAGAGGAGAGACAACAUACAUCUUAUCAAAAUAUCGAACGAAUAACAAAUUCACAUGAUUACUUGUAACAAGACUUAUCCCAUGUCCUCAGGAACAAACGUAAUUACUCACAAAGCAUAUUCAUGUUCAUGAUCAGAGGAGUAUUGAUAAUCAUUAAGGCUUUGAACAUAUAAACUUUCACCACAUAAACCAACUAGCAUCAACUACAAGGAAUAAUCAACACUACUAGCAACCCACAUGUACCAAUCUGAGAUUUUGAGACAAAGAUCAGAUACAAGAGAUGAACUAGGGUUUGGAGAGGAGAUGGCGCCGAUGAUGAUGUUGAUGGAUAUUGACCCCCUCUCGAUGAGAGGAUCGUUGGUGAUGAUGAUGGCUUCGAUUUCCCCCCUCCGGGAAGGAAGUUUCCCCGACGGAAUAGCUCCAUUGGAGCUCCAGAUUGGUUCUAUUGAAGUUUCGCCUCGAUACGGUGGCGCCUCGUCCCGAAAGCUCUCAUAUGAUUUUUCCACGUCAAAACCCUUCAUGUAGCAGAAGAUGGGUACCAGAGGCCUGCCAGGGGGCCCACAAGCCUGUAGGGCGCAGCCAGGGGGUAGGUCGCGCCCCUGGCUUGUGACCUCCUUGUGGGUCCCCUCUAGUAUUUCUUUGCCCAUUAUUUUAUAUAUAUUCCAAAACAAUUCUUCGUAACUCUUCAUGACUUUUGGAGCUAUGCAGAAUAGGUCUCUAAGAUUUUGUACUUUUCCAGUCCAGAAUUCCAGCUACCGACAUUCUCCCUCUUCAUGUAGAUCUUGUAAAAUCAGGGAGAAAAGGCAUAAGUAUUGUACCAAAAUGUUUAUUAACAACCGAUAAUGCAAUAAAUAUUGAUAUAAAAUCAUGAUGCAAAACGGACGUAUCAACUCCCAUAAGCUUAGACCUGGCUUGUCCUCAAGCGAAAGCCGAGAUCAAUAAAUAUGCCCACAUGUUUAGAGACAGUGGUGUCGAUAAAACAAAAUAUGGACAUGAAGGCAUCAUGGUUAUCUUUAGAACAACAACACAUAUUGACAUAUAAUUUCUUAUGCUAGAGUAAGAAUUCAUUCACAAGGAAAAAUAUGAAUCAAGAACUCUAUUGAGAAUUAACAAACUAUGAUUUUAGUCAUUGAAGAAAUUCCAAUUUAUCGCAACGUAGGAAAGAGUCAAUAUGAGAGCUUGUAAGGCAAAUCCACAUACUCAACCAUCUAAUGGUCUUUCAUAAUUGCUAACACUCAUGCGGUACCUAUGAGGUGAAAGCUUCAAUCGGACACAUAGAAAGAUAGGGGCUUAUAGUUUUGCCUCCCAUAUAUUUACCUCAAGGGUAAUGUCAACAAUAAUAACUCAUGAUCAACCACAUCCAAGUGGAUAUAUUGGUCUAGAUCAUUCCCCAACACAUUCGAUGUGUUCAUGGAUGUUUUUCCAUUUAAGGGACUUAUUUUGAUGAUUGCUUAAGAACCUUGAUUGAGUUUCGUAGAUAUGUGAAGAAACUAAUCUCGUCUUGAAUUGGGAGAAGUGCCACUUUAUGGUGAAUGAAGGUAUAGUACUUGGUCAUAAAAUUUCCAAAUGAGGUAUUCAGGUAGAUAAAGCUAAAGGUGAUUCAAUUGAGAAAAUGCCAUGUCCUAAAGAUGUUAAAGGCAUAAUUUUUUUCUUUGUCAUGUUGGUUUCUAUCGAAAAUUUAUUAAAGAUUUCUCAAAGAUUUAUAGUCCACUAACUGAUCUUCUUCAAUGAAUUUUCCAUUUGUUUUUUAUCAUGAUUGUGUAGAAGCCUUUGAAAUACUUAAGAAAGCCUUAAUUUCUACACCUAUUGUUAAACCACCUAAUUGGAACCUACCAUUUGAAAUUAUGUGUGAUGCUAAUGAUUAUUAUUUUGGUGUUCUUCUUGGACAAAGAGUUGAUAAGAAAUUGAAUGUUAUUCAUUAUGAUAGUAAAACUCUAGACAACGCUCAAAAUAAUUAUGCUACUAUUGAGAAAGAAUUUUUUGCGGUUGGUGUUUACAUGUGAUAAGUUUAGACCUUAUAUUGUUGAUUCUAAAGUUACUAUUCAUAGCAAUCAUGCUUCUAUUAAAUAACUUGUCUAUGAUACAUAGGGAGCUGAGGAUCCUCUAGAAGAUAAUUUGUCUAUGAUGGAAAAUGUUCUUUAUGACACCCUUCCUGUUGAUGAUAGUUUUCCGGAUGAGCAAUUAGCUAUUAUAAAUGCUUCUCAUAAUACUCCUUGGUAUGCAGACUAUGCUAAUUAUAUUUUUGCUAAAUAUAUACCACCUAGUUUCACAUACCAACAAAAGAAAAAGUUCUUGUUUGAUUGAAUACAUUACUUUUGGGAUUACCCACAUAUAUAUAAAGAAGGAGUGGAUGGUGUUAUUAUACGUUGUGUACCUGAGCAUGAAUAGGAACAAAUCCUAUGGAAGUUUCAUUCUAAGACAUACGGAGGACACCACGCUGGAGACAGAACAACACAUAAGGUAUUAUAGUCUGGUUUUUAUUGGCCGACUCUCUUCAAGGAUGCUCGUAAGUUUUUCCUUUCUCAUGAUGUGAAUAUCAAAGAAUUGGUAAUAUUGCUAGAUUGCAGGAAAUUUCUAUGAAUCAUUCUCGUGUUAUCGAACCAUUUGAUUUUUGGGGCUUUGAUUAUAUGGGACCUUUUCCUUGCUCUAAUGGGUACACUCAUAUUUUAGUUGUUGUUGAUUACGUUACUAAGUGGGUGGAAGCUAUUCAAACUAGUAGUGACGAUGAUAACACUUCUAUUAAAAUGUUGAAAGUGGUUAUCUUUUCAAGGUUUGGAGUCCCUAGAUAUUUAAUGACUAGUGGUGGUUCACAUUUUAUUCAUGGUGCUUUCUGUAAACUUCUAGCUAAAUAUGAUGUUAACCAUAGAACUGCAUCAUCUUAUCAUCCUCAGUCUAGUAGUCAAGUUGAGUUGAGCAACAGAAAAAUAAAAUUGAUCUUUCAAAAUAUUGCCAAUAUAUCUAGAAAGAAUUGGCUUAGAAAUCUUGAUGAUGCAUUAUGGGCUUAUAGAAAUUCUUAUAAAAAUCCUAUGGGUAUGUCUCUAUAUAAAAUGGUCUAUGGAAAAGCAUGUCAUUUACCUCUUAAGUUUGAACAUAAAGCUUAUUGGGAAAUUAAAGAACUUAAUUAUGAUUUCAAACAUGUUGGUGAGAAGCGGUUAUUUGAUAAUAGCUCUUCAGAUAAAUGAAGGACACAAGCUUAUGAAAAUUCUAAGUUGCUAAUGGAAAAAGUUAAAAGAUGGCAUGACAAAAGAAUCUAGAAAUGGGAAUUUGAAGUAGGCGAUCAAGUUAUUUUGUACAACUCGCAUUUCAGAUUCUUUGUAGAAUAUCUUCGCUCUAAAUGGGUGUUGAAAAUAUGCCCUAGAGGCAAUAAUAAAGUGGUUAUUAUUAUAUUUCCUUGUUCAUGAUAAUCGUAUAUUCGACAUGCUAGAAUUGUAUUUAUUCGAAACUCAAAUACAUGUGUGGGUACAUAGACAACACUGUGUCCCUAGUGUGCCUCUAAUGCACUAGGUCGUUAAUCAAAGAUGGUCAAGGUUUCCUAGCCAUAGACAUGACUUGUCAUUUGAUAACGAGAUCACAUCGUUAGUAGAAUGAUGUGAUGGACAAGACCCAAACUAUGAACGUAGCAUAUGAUCGUGUCAGUUUAUUGCUAUUGUUUUAUGCAUGUCAAGUUUUUGUUCCGGUGACCAAGAGAUCAUGCAACUCACUGACACCGGAGGAGUACCAUGUGUGUAUCAAACGUCGCAACGUAACUGGGUGACUAUAAAUAUGCUGUACUGGUAUCUCCAAGGGUGUUUGUUGAGUAGGCAUGGAUCAAGAUUGAGAUUUGUUACUCCAUGUGGCAGAGAGGUAUCUCAGGGCCCACUCGGUAAUACAACAUCACAAUGAUCUUGCAAGCAAUAUUACUAAAGAGUUGGGCAUGGGAUCUUGUAUUAUGGAACGACUAAAUAUACUUCCCGGUAAUGAGGUUGAACUAGGUAUGGAGAUACCAGCGAUCGAAUCUCGGGCAAGUAACAUACCGAUGAACAAAGGGAACUACAUACAUGAUUAACUGAAUCCUUAACAAUGAGGUUCGACCGAUGAAGAUCUUCAUAGAAUAUGUAGGAACCAAUUUGGACAUCCAGGUCCCGCUAUUGGUUAUUCACCGUAGAGGUGUCUCGAUAAUGUCUACAUAGUUCUCGAAUCCACAAGGUCUACACACUUAACGUUUUGUGACGAUAAAAGCAUAGUCCAGUUAUUAUGUUGGUGAUCGAAUGUGGUUCAGAGUCUCGGAUGAGAUCCGGACGUGACGAGGAACUCCGAAAUGGUUCGGAGGUGAAGAUUGAUAUAUAGGAUGAGGGGCAUCGGAGUUCGGAAGUGUUCUGGGGCAUACCGGGGAAUGGACGGAGUGUCGAAAGGGGUUUCGGGGGGACCUCAUGGGCCAAGAAAAGGAGGCACACCAGCCCACAUGGGGCUGGGCGCCAUCCCAACCUGAUCCCACCAUGGCUAGGAGGUGGCCACACCCCCUAGGGCCGCGGGCCACCCAAAUCUUGGGAAGCAAGGCGCCUUGGGGAUGGGCCACCAGCCCUAGCCGCCCACCCUUGGCCGCCGACCCCUAGGGGAAAUGCUAGGGCACACUCCCCUCCUCCCUUCCCCUUAUAUAUAUAGAGGGAGAGAGAGGGCAGAUGCACAACAAUGUGGUACGUGCUCCUCCUCCUCUCCCUCGUACUUCUUCUCCUCUCACAAUCCCGCGGCGAAGUCCUACUGAUCUGUCAACACCACCACCUCACCACGCCGUCGUGCUGCCGGAGGAAUUGGGCUGCUACUUCACCAUUGCUCGCUGGAUCGAGGAGAUGAAGGUGUCAUCAAGCUAUACGUGUGUUGAACACGGAGGUGCCAUCCGUUCGGCGAUUGAUUGGGAGUUCGCGAGACGUAUCGUUAUUGGAUCGCGAAGAUGUUCAACUACAUCAACCGCGUUCUUUUACGUUUCCGCUAAAUGAUCUACAAGGGUAGGUGGAUACAAUCUCUCCUCUCGUAGAUGUGCAUCUCUGUAACAUCCCAAAUUUUCAAAUUGGAAUGUUAUGCAUUAGAUCAUCAUUGCAUAUCAUAUUUUAUUGCAUUCUUGGUUGACCCUAGAAAUUCUACGCGACUCAAGGACCCACACAAAGCGUUGAUGAUUUCGCUAUUUUCAUAAUUGAGUUUUCCCAAAUUUGGAAAAGAGGAUCAUUUGGUUUUAAUUAUUUUCUCUUCAAAUAUUGCUAAAUAUAAAAUAAAAGAGAGGGCAUAAAAUGACUUCCCCAAAAUAAAAAAAUAUUGGUGGAAAAAUAUGAAAAUCAAAUAAGAAUUUUACUCAGAGUUUUAUUGCUAUUUUAUUUGAAUUAGGAAAAAAAAUGCAUUUUUUUAAAAUUGAAUUAGAGGCCCAAAUAAAUGUUCACCUUGUGUGUCAUAUUUUUAGAGGACGAGGAAAAUUUAUUUCAGGAUUUUUGGAGUUCGUUUGGUAUUUCUUUUUUUUUAUCUUCUACGCGUCGGAAUUAUUUAAAAAAAAGUCAAACCAUUUAAACGGGUCGUGUCCGACCGGGACUCUAUGUCGUCGGCCUUUAUCAUGAGGUAGCCGUUUUAAAAAAAGCCGUAGAUUUAUUUUUAGAUAGGUUUAGUUAUUUUAUUCCCGGUUUAUUUAAUUAGCGUAUGUUCGUACGUACGUUCGUUUUAACGAACGAUGUUCAUCCGUUAUCCGCACACAGCGAAUGUUCGUUCGUUAGCCUAUUCGUCAGUUUUUCUUUUUCCAGGGAUUUUCCGCGAUUAUUUCCAAUCGCGAUUUCUGCCGUGAUUUUCGUUUUAGUUUAUCUUUUCGCUCGUUUAUCGGAAUCAGGUGAUUCAAACGUCCAAAUCUUCGUCUCGAAACCCUCUUUCUGUUUAACGAACUUGAACAAGAUUUUUGGAUUGUAAAAUUUGACUAUGGUCCAAAUUAGUAAACGAAUCUUGUUUCUUUUGUAGUUUGAGUUUCGUUGCUUCGUUUGUUUUGAUUCUUUUUGCAAACCGGAGUUCUUCAAUUGAACUUUCUGGUUAGAUCUCUUAUUUGAGUUUUACCCGUGCUUCUAGUUUGAGUGCUUAUGUAUGUUAUUGUUUGUUUACGAUAGAGUACCCGGAGUGCGAAGCAUGCUACUACGAGUCUCUAGGUUUUGCGGAUCAUCAGCAAGGCAAGUAACACUUUGAUCAUACCUCUUUACUACCCAGUUUAAUUGCAUUAGAUCAACACUCAAACAUUGCAUGGUUAGGAUCUGAUUAACGUGUGGGUUUUGGGAAGUAGAUGAUGAGUUGAACCUAUUCUCCUAUUUAUUAUCAAAUCUUUAGGAGUUACUUCUAUGUUUUGCUUAUUGCUAUGCUAUGCUCGUAGACAUGGAUUGGGUGAGUGUAUCCAUGACAUAUGUGAGUAUUGUUAAUUAAUGGUUCACUUAAGGUGGCUACUUAAAUACAGAUCUGGGUGGAUUUCUUGAGGCACCCUGGGGUACCCAGUGGUUGUCAGGGCACCUGGAGAAAUCCAGUGUUGUUCUAGGACAUCCCGGAGUAACCGUAUGAUCAUCCUACGGUCCGCCACCCAGGCUCAAAGGGAUCAUAAGAUUAUUCAUUCUAGAAUCUUCCGUGUGCAGCCACAUCUGGCAUAGUUGAGUAAGUUGCGUGAAGCUCUUGAAGCGGUAGACUAGCAGAUGUAGUGGGUUGUAGGUGGUACGGUCUACCCACAGUAGAGAGCUAAUGCUUCAGAAAGACUAUGCCUCGAUUCUCCGACCAUGGAUGUAUUGGAGUCUUGUGGGAAAAGUGCGCAAACCUCUACAGAUUGUACAAACUAAUCAUGGUUAGCCGUGUGCCCGGUUAUAGACAUCUUGAGUAUCUAAUUCUUGGAUUAUCAUGUUGAUCUCAUCACCCUAAAUAAAUUUGUUGGGUUUAAUGAUGAUGCUUAAUUGGGAUUGAGUUGGAGGAACCUUCUCAAUGUUUAACAACAACUAUGAUAGUUAAAUAAAACUUAUUCCGUUGUUGUAGGAUAAAGAUUGGCUUUAUGCAAAACUGUUAACCAUAGAGCUUUCCCCCAGCCAUAUAUGCAUGUAGAAAUAGCAUUUAUUCCGUUCAUUAAUCUAUGUGUUACAUUGCCAGCAUAUUCCAUGUGCUGACCCGUUUCGGGAUGCAACAUUUCGUGUUGCAGACUUUUAAGACGUCGAGUAAGGUGCCAUAGGUCGUUGUCUUUCACUCAGCUAUGCCGUUGGAGUUGAUGGUCUCACUUUAUCUUCCAAGCCUUCCGCUGUUAAUGUUUUAGAUGCCCUUAAGCCAUAUUAUUGUAAUAAGUUCUCUUUUGAGACAUUCGAUGUAAUAAGGGUGUGACUGAAACUCUGUUAUAAAUCCUCAAGUACUGUGCGUGUCAGCAUUACCGAUCCAGGGAUGACACAAAUGCAUAGAGACUGGACUGUUUGAGGUCUUGUCGCUACAAGAUGGUACCAGAGCCAAGUUGACUGUAGGACACGACCACUAAGCUAAAACCAUAGGUCACUCCUCUCUUCCCAUUUCUGACUCCUGUCCCCUUUCUUCUCUAUAGGAUGGUGGAUGCAAAGAACAAGUUCACACAACCGGAUGAAGAUACACCUUUUGGAAGACACUUGAAGGAAGUUACUAGGUACCUGAACAUCGGAAUACCAAGCUUCACCAGGACCUACAUCGCCACUUUACCAGAAGAGGAGCAUUGGAAGAUUCGAGUUCAAUUUCCAGGAAGGACGUUCAUGCCAGUCACUGAGCCCAUAGAGUUUUCCUUUGAUGCACCAACCUGGAGUCUAGGAAAGAGCAUGGCAGCCCACGUCACCAUGGGACGCAUUGGAGAAGUUUACCACAAGGAUCUCAAGGAUACUAUCUACCAGAUUUGUGGGCACCGAGACGAGCAAUGGGAGAUGAUCAGCACCAAGGGUACAGAUCCAUUGCAGCUUUCAUCCAGGAGUUAAACCAACACAUUCGACGCCAGGAGGACCAAAUGUGCACUGGCAUGAAUGAUUUGAAGAAGGAAAGGACCAGGAUUACGGAGCUGGAGGAAGAACUCAAAUCUACAUGCGAUGGAUACAAGGGGAGAUAAAGAUACUUGUGGAGAAGAUUGAAGAUUUGACAGGGAAGCUAGAAUUAUUCAUGGUAGACCCCGCGCCAAGUGGAGAUGAAGACGAUUCCACUUGUCCGGAGAACUACAUCAUCAUCGACGACACCGACUCAGACUCUGACGAUAGAGAUGAUGACUACGUUGAUGAAGCUGGAGCAGAUAUAAUGGAGUCCUCCAUCGAUCAAAACUUCUAGUCGACCACCAUAUCAACAGUAGUAUUUCCCAUGUACAUAGUAUAGUCCGAGCACUUUUGUAACGAUAGUUAGACUAUUUGUAUGCCCUUGUUUGAAUUGAUUGAAGUGAUAUGAUUGUGUUUGUCUCAUGUGCAUAUCGGUAGUGUUUUCUCUUUAGACCUCAUUCUAUUCUGUUUUCUCAUCUUUUCUAAACCCAUCAGAUGCGCGUGAGAUGUGACCCCGGAUUUUCUUUCCCACCGGAGCUCACUCAGUUGAUCUAGCAGCAGAAUACCCUGAUGCAGCUACUAGUCCAGAAUCAGAACCAGGGGAAGAACAACUACCCACCACCACCACCACUACCUGUUGAUCACUUAGCCCGUUUCUUAAGGCUAAAUCUGUCGGUGUUCUCUAGUAGCACCGAGCCGAUUGUUGCAGAUGAUUGGCUCCACAAGAUUGGAAGGGAGUUGACCACUGCAGGAUGCAUAGAUGUGGAGAGAGUGCGUUCUACCGCACAUCAGCUAGAUGGACCCGCAUCAUCAUGGUGGGAGAAUUUUAAAGUCACUUACCCCAUCGACACUGUCACAUGGGACUAGUUUCAGCAGGCUAUUCGCACCGCCCNNNNNNNNNNNNNNNNNNNNNNNNNNNNNNNNNNNNNNNNNNNCAGCAGGAGUUAUGGCCAUGAAGAAGCGUGAGUUUCGCAACUUGUGCCAAGGAGGACGCACAGUGGGCUAGUAUGUGGAGGAUUUUAGUAAGUUAGCACGUUAUGCCCCGGAUGACGUUGCUACAGAUGCCACUAAGAAGGAGAAGUUCCUGGAAGGACUAAAUGAUGAGCUAAGCAUGCAGUUGAUGGUGGCAACCUUCAACAACUACCAAGAGUUGGUAGAUAGAGCUCUCAUGAUUGAAGGGAAGCAGCAGCAGAUUGACAACUGCAGGAGGAAGUAUGGACAAGGGAAGUACAAAUCAGGAGCUCAGCAGAGGCCCCGUUUUACCCCGAACUCGGGAGGACACAUUCACCAUAACUGUUGUGGAUAUUAUCUGCCAUGUGACCCGCCCUAGUUGGGCCGGUCACCAAGUGGGCGACUCAUACUUUGGUGGUUCAAGGUUUGGCCUAGAAGGCCCAGGAGCUGGAUGGCGGUUCAAGAUCUACAUGGAGGAUAAGUCAUCAGGGAGUCUUCGAGUCUUGGAAAGCACGGCGAUUUAGAGAUUAAAGGAAUCACGACUUGUGUUAUGGCAAGGACUCUUGUAAACCCUAGGGCCUCGACCUGUAUAUAAAGGCGAGCCCCUGGAGAGGGGAGGUCAGGUUAGAAAUCAUCGAGAGCUAGGUCAGGCGAGUUACGCCCUCCUUGUAAUCGAAACAUCAUCAAUACAACACUAGAAGGACAUAGGCUUUUACCUCACCACGAGGGGCCGAACCUGGGUAAAACCGAGUCCCUCUUCCACUCAAACCCCUUUGAGUCGCCACCAAGGUGCGAUGGCUCCAUCAUUAAGUCCUUUCACUAGGACAUCUGCCGUGAGAAAACCACGACAGUUGGCGCCCAUCGUGGGGCCUACGCACGGUGGAGUUGAGUUCUCGUAGGGAGCCCUACCAGGGUCAGGGAGCUACGCGGUUGGGCUCAUGACCCGGAGGCGCCGCGGAAAGUACUACAUCGACAACUCGCUGUGGGAACCCGAGGCCGAUUCGAUCAAAUCCGGCUACAAAGUCCCCUUCGGCAAGGUCAACAUCUUCAUCGGCAUGGUCAGAGCACCCAUGCCCGAGCCGGACAUCUUCACUGACACCGUCGAGCCAGCCAGGUAUGUCCGUCCCGUCGUGCCACAAAGCCCGACGCACCCAGUUUCCGUCGGCUUAACGCAGGGAUCUGAUGAGCCAGAGCGGUCGGCGAAUCGGGAGGCCACACCAGUCAACUCUGACGAGGAGUCAUCCAUGGGCGACACAGAUUCGAUCCAGUCCCUGCAUGAAGGCCGCCUCAAAGAUCUGUCGCUGGCGAUGGAUCCUGAAGUCCUCGACCGGACCCGCCGUCAGAUCGCCAUAUACAUGGCGGGGGCAACACAGUCCCAGCAAAACCCUGCAGGCAAUAACGAGGCUGGCGGCCCAUCCAAAAGCCUAGCUGAGGUCCUGGUGGACCUGUCGCUGGAGAUAACGAGGCUCAUGGCAACCCCCGUGAUGGCAGAAAACCAGGGAACGAUCAACGCCGAGUUGGCAAAGCUGCGAGAUGAGAUGGCGAAGGCCUAGCGAGAUGCAGAGGCAGAAGCCGCCAGGAUUGCGACCCAGCAAGCUCAGAUCACCGUGGAGACGGCCCACUUAAACACUGAGAACUUGUGACUUGAAAGACAACAGCGCGUGUCCGACGCUGUCCAUCCGAGGAGGCACCAGGGGAGUUUGCCCCUGAUCUGAACCCUACCCGCCUUUUCAACACUCCGCGUACCCCCGGGACGGGAACCGUUCCAGAGGGAGGGCCGGCUCAGCCACCAAACCCACCGCCUCAGCCAGCGGAUGAUCGCGUACCCCGUUUCCAUACGCCUCAGGGCCACUUUUCCAACCCCAUGGACAAUGUGCUCGCAGCGACUCGCCACUUGGAGUCCCUUCCAAUUUAUGGAAACACCCCGACUGAAAUAGAAGCAAGAAAUGCCAUUGAGAUGUUGAAAACGGCGGUGGUCUAGAACGUGCAAUUCUCACACAGCCUCGACCGGCUGCACUCCACCCCCCAGACGAGCCGCACCAGAAGUCGGCCGGAGGACCCACCCGCCGUAACUAGCGGACUGCGGCACCUACCUCAGGGUAACCCGCCCGACCAUCGGGACCCUCCCGCCCGCAACACCGUUGGUGCGACGGGCCAGGAUCAUCAAGGCCAGAUCCAAACCCACCCAGCGUCACUCAGCGGAGGUGGCAGGCACGUCGGGGUGCCGUGUUUGUCCAUUGCCCUGCACAACAAGCGAAUGCCGAAGGACUUCAAAGGUCCAAGGAAGGUGCCCAACUACACCCCGGAUCUUGAGCCGGCAUUGUGGGUUGAGAGUUAUGACCUCGUGAUGGACAUGCUCGACGUGAGUGAAGCGGCCUGUACCAGGUACUUCACAAUGAUGCUGGAAGGAACGGUGCGCACUUGGUUGAAAAACCUGCCACCCAACUCCAUCCAGACUUGGGCUGAACUGAAGGAGCAUUUCAUCAAAAACUUUCGAGGAACUUGCAAAUGCCCAAUGACGAUCGUCGACUUACAUCAUUGCAUUUAGCGGCCUGACGAGUCGGCUCAUCAUUGGACGCGGCGGGUUGCAGAACUCAUCCACUCGUCGGACGGCAUCACGGCGGCCCAGGCCAUGCUAAUUCUAGAGCAAAACUGCCACUACGAGCCCCUCGUACAGAAGCUGGGGCGACUCAAGCGCAAGGUCCAGGAUAUGGGCGAAUUGAUGGAUACCCUCACUCGGUACGCUGAAGCGAACGAUACCAAAGAUCCAGGAGAGGACAGUAGGAAGGCCAACCCGCCAAGGAAAGGCGAGUCAUCCAAGAAUCACUCCCAGUUUCAAGGACGCGCCCACCAUAAUCAUGGUGGAAAUGGCAAGAGAAGGCAGCAGGAAGGACCCACGGACUUCGUCGCCAAUACGAACGCUAACAAUGGCAACCAGCGCCAGAAGAAGAUGGGUUACAGUGGCAAGAAGCCGCGCAAUUAUAACGAGAUACUUAAGGACCCCUGCCCGCAUCACACCAUGACAGAAGGACCAGCGACCCACUCUUGGGAAGACUGCUACGUGAUGUAGGAAUUUCGGGCGGAGGCACUCAAGAAAGGCCAAGCCGGCGACCAGAGCCAACGGCAGGAACAGUUCGGUGCGCCUAAUCAACGUCAGAACCCGUUUGGCGGCUUUCCCAAACCAGGACCCCAGGGUGGCUCGCAACCAAGGAGUGGCCAGUUCCCGGUGCAUAACCAGCAGUGGUAUAACCCGCCCGGAGUGUUUCAGAAGCCACCCCCGCAGGGGGCUCCCAAGGGCAAGAUAAUAAUGGCGGAUUCCGCAGCAAUCCCAAGCAAUUAAACAGCGGACAAUACCAUGUAUUCACCACCAGUGCCUGUAAGCGAGACAAGAAGGUGAAGCACAGGACAUAUAGCGUGUCCGAGCCGGCGCUCUCCAGGUACCUCCAUUGGUGUGAGCAAACUAUCUCUUGGAGUAGGGAGGAUCACCCGCCCAGAAUUGACAACCCCGGUGACUUGGCAUUGGUCGUGGCCCCCCAAGUCGGGGGAUAUACCCUUUCAAAGGUUCUUAUGGAUGGUGGCAGCAGCAUCAACAUAUUAUAUUUCAACACCUUUCGAAGGAUGAACCUCUUGCAGAAGGACCUAAUCCCGUCAACCACGGUUUUCCAUGGUAUCGUUCCGUAUAAGUCGGCAUACCCAAUUGGGCGAGUCAAACUUAACGAGGCUUUUGGUACAACAUCCAAUUACAGGAGCGAGUCGCUUAUAUUUGAGGUGGUCAAGCUGAAGAGCCCUUAUCAUGCAUUGUUCGGGCGGCCGACUUACGCCUGGUUCAUGGCUCGCCCCUGCUAUGUCUACCUUAAACUCAAGAUGCCUGGCCCUAAGGGACCCAUCACGGUCGAUGGUGACAGGAGGAUAGCAAAGGAGUGUGAGGAAGGAGAUGCGGCUUACGCAGAAAUCGCUUGCGCCGCGGAAGAGCUCAAGUAUCACCAAGCCAAUGUUGACCUGUCGGAUAUGUCGCCUCUCAAGAAGCCAACAACUGAUGUUGAGCCGCUCCUCAAGUUUAAGCCGACGGAUGACACUAAGAUGGUGGACUUCACUCCUGGCGACUCGUCCAAGCAGUUCACUAUCGGGGCGGGUCUGGAUCCCAAAUAGGAAAGCGCGCUCAUCGAAUUCAUCAGUGAGAAUCGGGACAUCUUCGCAUGGAAACCUUCUGACAUGCCUGGUGUACCGAGAGAAUUCGCUGAGCACCAUCUUAAUGUUGACCCUAAAGCAAAGACGAUUCAGCAAUAUCUUCGCAGAUUUAAUGAGGAGCGACGCAAGGCGAUCGGAGAAGAAGUCGCCCGUCUUUUGGCCGCCGGAUUCAUCAUUGAGGUCUUCCACCCUAGAUGGUUGGCUAACCCGGUCCUGGUGCUCAAGAAGAACGACACUUUUCGCAUGUGCUUCGACUACACCGACCUCAACAAAGCUUGCCCAAAAUAUCCUUUCGCCCUUCCCCUCAUUCAUCAAAUCAUUGACUCGGUUGCGGGAUGCGAGCGUUUGUGUUUCUUGGACGCCUACUCCGGAUAUCACCAGAUCAAGAUAGCUGUGGAAGAUCACGAGAAGACGGCCUUCAUAACCCCAUUUGGGGCUUUUUCCUAUGUAUCCAUGCCGUUUGGGCUCAAGAGCGCUGGGGCGACUUACCAGCGUUGUAUCCAAAAGUGUCUCCACGGCCAAAUCGGACGCAACGUCCAUGCUUACGUUGAUGACAUCAUCGUUAAAUCUCGCAAGAAGGAGACGCUCUUGGAGGAUCUCAAGGAAACCUUUGACAAUCUGCUUGUGUAUCAGAUGAAGCUUAAUCCCACCAAAUGUGUCUUUGGUGUUCCUACAGGAAAGCUUUUAGGUUUUCUGGUGUCAGAACGCGGCAUUGAGGCCAACCCGUACAAAAUCGAAGCAAUCACCUCGCUUGGGAAACUAGCGAAUAUUAAUCAAGUCCAACGCAUGGCAGGUCGUAUUGCGGCCUUGAGUCGCUUUAUAAGCUGCCUGGGGGAGAAAGCCAUUCCCCUCUAUCAGUUGCUUAAGAAAGCUGAUCGGUUUGUUUGGACGGACGAGGCCAACAAAGCUUUUGAAGCCCUGAAGCAGCAACUGGUCAACCCACCGGUUCUGGCCGCCCUGACUGAAAAGGAGCCUAUGCUUUUGUACAUCGCGACGAAUACCAAGACGGUGAGCAUGGCAGUGGUUGUUCAACAGAAGGAAGAAGGAAAGGAAUACCCGGUACAACGCUCGGUGUAUUUUAUCAGCGAGGUUCUAAUCCUCUCCAAACAACGUUAUCCACAUUGGCAGAAGUUGGUUUAUGGGAUGUUUAUGGUGAGUCAGAAGCUAAAACAUUGUUUACAAGAAUAUCCUAUCAUGGUGGUUAGCUCCGCUCCUCUUGGGGAUAUCAUCCAGAACCGAGAAGCAACGGGACGAAUCGCCAAGUGGGAAUUGAGCUCGGGCCACACCACGUGCGGUAUACGCCUCGCACGGCUAUCAAGUCCCAGGCAUUGGUCGAUUUCAUCAAUGAUUGGACUGAGUUACAGAUUCCCGAAGACAGGCUUGAUCUCACGUACUGGACCAUCUACUUUGACGGGUCUAGGCAAUUGGAGGGCUCGGGGGCUGGCGUGGUGAUGAUUUCACCCUAGGGAGACAAGUUCUGUUAUGUUCUCCAACUCAUGUUCCCGUGUACCAAUAACGCUGCAGAGUACGAAGCCCUACUUCAUGGUUUGGACUAGCCAAUGAGAUGAACCUCACACGCGUCAGCUGCUUGGGCGAUUCCGAUCUGGUGGCACAACAAGCUUCAUGUACAUGGGAUUCCCGGGACCCCCUAAUGGUGGCACAACAAGUUUCAGGUACAUGGGAUUUCCAUGGUUAUCAAGUCGAUCAUAUCGACUGGCGACUUAAUGAAGCAGCUGAUGCCCUCUCGCGUCUCGGCUCGCAACGUAAGCCGGUUCCUCCUAAUGUCUUUGUGGAUAUUCUGCAUAAUCCUUCUGUGAGGUUGCCUUCAGAAGAGGAACUGGCGAUACCAGAUCCCGAGUCUCAGUUUGUGGCAGCUCUACGUGCUAUGCCGGAUUGGGUUCUUCCUUACUUGGCGUACCUCACGGGAGGCGAGUUACCUUCGGAUGAGGUGUUGGCCCAUCAAAUCGUUCGUCGGAGCAAGUCCAUUGUCGUCAUCAACGGCGAGUUAUACAAACUAAGUACUUCUGGGGUAUUUCAAAGAUGCGUUUCUUCUGAUGAAGGGUGCAUAAUUCUCAACGAGAUCCAUGCAGGAGAUUGCGGGCAUCACGCCGGGUCACGUUCCCUGGUUUCCAAGGAGUUCCGGCAUGGGUUCUUUUGGUUGACGGCUCAUGCGGAUGCAGAAGAGAUAGUUCGUCAAUGUGAUGGCUGUCAAUGUUUUGGACAACAGGUUCAUGUGCUGGCUCAAUAAUUAAGGAUGAUCCCCAUCACUUGGCCUUUUGCGGUCUGGGGGUUAGAUAUGGUUGGUCCCUUUAAGAUGUCAUCCAAUAAAAAGACUCAUCUACUGGUGGCGGUCGAUAAAUUCACCAAGUGGGUCGAAGCAGAGCCUGUUGGCAGCUGUGACGCGGAAACGGCCAUCAAAUUCUUGAAAAAAUUGAUAUCCCGGUUUGGAUACCCACACAGCAUUAUCACUGAUAAAGGUACCAACUUAUCACAAGGGGCGAUGCAGGAGUUUUGCAACCGGGAGCAUAUUCGGCUUGAUGUGUUUGCGGUUGCUCGUCCACAAUCUAAUGGGCAGGCAGAACGGGCGAAUCAGGAAGUGCUGCGGGGAAUCAAACCCCGACUUAUGUUUCCCCUGGAACGCACCCCAGGGUGUUGGGUUGAGGAGUUGCCUUCGGUAUUAUGGAGCAUUCGAACCACCCCGAAUCGUUCUAUGGGUUUUACUCCUUUCUUCUUGGUAUACGGAGUAGAAGCCGUUCUUCCCGGUGACAUUAGGCAUGACUCGCCCCGAGUCGCCGCUUAUGUGGAGUAGGAUAAUGAGUUGGCACAUCAAGAUUCUUUGGAUGCUUUGGAGGAAGCACGCGAGUUGGCUGCCUCCCGAUCGACUAUCUAUCAGCAAGACUUGCGGCGUUAUAAUAGCCUCCGGGUCAAGAGCCGAGCUUUUCAAGAGGGCGACUUAGUGCUCCGGUUGAUCCAAGAUCGCACUAGCAUGCAUAAGUUGUCACCGCCAUGGGAAGGACCGUUUGUCAUCAACAAAAAUCUUCGCAAUGGGUCAUACUAUUUGGUGGAUCUUCGGCCUGAUCGGCCAACGACGGAGGCUAAGUCAACUCGCCCCUGGAACAUAGCCCAUGUGCGGCCUUACUACACUUGAGCUAUUGGCUCCCCUUUUUCCUUUCUCUCCCAUCUUUGGAAAUUGUAAGUCCUUUGUUUAUAUAAAGCAAUAAAGUCGAUACCCACGAAUUUUGGGUUUUCCUGCCACUUCAUCUUCUUGAAAGCAUGGAUCUUUAUUGUCCUUCAACAAGUCACCCAAGCAUGGACGCUAUCAAUACCAGAGAGCAUAAGUCGCCAUGCUGCACUUAUUACAACACUGGGUAUCGAUAAGCCAAAGAGGAUCAAGUCGCUACAAGCGCACGAUUCAAACAUGGGCACCUUAUAUGAUUCUUAGGAUUAGGCCGGCUUACUUGGGGGCUAUCAGCUCCCAAGUCGUUUUGUGGUAAGAGCGUAUACGCUUCUACAAUCCUAUGACCAGUCUUUCCCCUAAUCAUAGGUCACUUGGGGGCUUCCUCUCACUGAGAUCAGCCUAACUACCCAUUUGGCUAGCGAAAAAUUACCGCACUAAAAAUGGUUAUACUGGACUGUGUGUUGGCCAAAUCGCCAUAUGGAACCAUGAACUCUUGGCGAGUCAAUCCGCUAUUUGGACCCUGAACUCACCUUGGUUAAAAUAUGCAUGGUACCGGCUAGUGCCCCACAUGGAAAAUAGAGAAACCAUUGGUUCAUUGAACCUGCUUCACCGAAGCUUGACUCGCGCCUGAUCAGCCGGUCUAAAUACUUGAUCUUUUUUGCACAAAAACUCUCCUUUGGGUAGCACUUGAGUUUUUCUAACUCGUCCUAUCCUGUCGCGAGUUGAACGAGCCAACGAAAUUCUUACUAUCACCUUCCUGGCACUGCCAUAAGGUUUCACAGAUCUAUGAGACUCGCCGUGUCUCGUUGAGCCGGGUUUCUUCAUACAAUUUGCCAAGACACCUUGAGUCGGUUAUUAUUUAUCAUCAUCCAUUACUCAUUGAGAUGGUUUGAUAUAUGCUUUUGCUAGCCAAACAGGUUGGUGAUCGAAUCUUUACUGACAUGGCGGGUCAAGCAUCAUGGCACUCCAAGGGCGGCACAAGGUUUUUUCAAAGGUCACAGAAGAGUUCCACAACAGACAUAAGCAAAGGAUUGUUUUCUACAAUGACCUAUUACAUGGCUCAGAUGGCCAAAUCAGUAGGGUCUAUUCUGCUGGUGCCUCCGGGUCAACUUGCCUCGAGCUGUGGCCGACUUCAAGUUGUAAAUCGCGAAGUACCCAAUUACACUUGGAUAGAGCGGCAAAUUCGUCUUCAUCGUUCANNNNNNNNNNNNNNNNNNNNNNNNNNNNNNNNNNNNNNNNNNNNNNNNNNNAGAUCCGACUCCAAAUCAAAAGGUUCUUGGAUCGACGAGGAGUUAAGCUGGUUGUCACAAAUGCAGGCGGGUUUACUUUCUUGUUCUUGUCAUCAUAAGUGGCUUGGUACUUUGAUAAAUCCAAACUUGCUGCUAGCUGAGUCGCCGCCGAGCGUGAUUCCUUGACGACGCAAUGAUAAUCAUCUUGAGUAAACUCUGACUCGUCAUCCUUGAGCUGUGGGAAGCCUGCUGCUACCUCUUCGGGCUUCAGUUCUGGAGCAUACGCCAAACACCGACACAAGGUAGCCAGCGCCCCUUCCGGGCGGCUGAUCGGGUUAGCUCACCUAUCUGAGGCGGAAGGGUGGAUAAGCAUCCAAGCAUCUUUUUGAUUCAUGUGAUUGGUUCCUUGGUGCCCAUCACUGCCUUCAUGAUCAGCAUGCUCCCAGUACACAGCUGCUCAGUCAGUGUGUAAAUCGCCUUUAACUUCAAGAUGCAGUCGUCCUGAAGGUUGGCGGCUCUCGGGCCUGCGUGAGAAAGACAAAUGAUGGUUCGUACUUUGUUUUUUUCACACUAAUUUUUUAUUUUAGAGAUACGAAACCAGGAAUUCCUUCUUACCAAAGAUGGUCCGUGUCAUGCUGGAAAUAUGUUUCUUUAAACCGGCCAGUUCUUGUUGCAUCGCUCCCAAUUUUGUUUCAGUCGUUUCAGCUCGCUUUAGCGUGGUGGCUUGAUCAACUUGAGAUUUCUUGUCGGCGGCUUUCAGCUUUUCCAUAUUAGCUAAGAUUUCCUGUUAUUUUUCUUCUGCUUGAGCCCGCGCGUCUUGCUGGUCGGCUAAACUUUUCUUUAAGUCGCCCAACGUUGACUCGGCUUGGGCUAUAGAUUCCUGUCAACAUAUUUUGGAGGGACAAGUCUCAGAAUUGUUGCAAGCAACAUCCCUGACACUUGGGGGCUAAUGUAUAAUUUAAAAAAAAAACAAAAUUAUACCACAAGCAAGACCCGACUCAUCUUUCAAUAGAUGACCCGACCCUUGGGGGUUACGGGUCAAAGAUUUUUUAUACAUCAAGACCCGGAUCAUCUUUCAAAAGAUAACCCGGCCCUUGGGGGUUACAGGUCGAAGAUUUUUUCUACAUCAAGACCCGGCUCAUCUUUCAAAAUAUGACGGGGGUUAUAGGUCGAAGAUUUUUUCUAAGUCAAGACCUGGCUCAUCUUUCAAAAGAUGACCCGACCCUUAUGGGUUACAGGUCGGAAGAUUUUCUAACGCAAGACCCGGCUCAUCUUUCAAUAAGAUGACCCGGGCCUUGGGGGCUAAUGAGGAGGGUAUGCAUUAAGGCGUACCUCAUGUUUAUUCUUCAUCAUAUGGAGUAGGUUCUUCUCCAUUUCAUAACUUGUUUCUAGGCGACUUGCGAAGCCGGAGCAGAGUUCAUCAAACUCAAGUUUUUCAUAUUGAGGAAGUUUGGCCUUGGAGAUCUCAUGUCUGGUGGAAGGAUGGGACGAUGUUGAUACAUGCUGUGAUAAGAUUGCUGAAGCCGGCUUAGAGAAGACAGUACUAGUAAUGACCACAACAUCAGGAUCUUCAGCCGCCUUCAACGGACUUGGCGGGUUGGUUGUUUCCAUGCCUUCCUUGGGAGAACUUGGAAGGUCAAUUCGGUCAUCAGUAUAUCUUUUGUCGGGUCAACAUGAGCCGGUGCUGGGUCUUCUUUAAGCUGUGGGGCAGAAGGAGUGGAAGUUGGGCCGCCGGUUUUCCUCUUCUUUGCUUGCGCUCUAAGAAAAAUAGGGUCAUGUUUAAAGCAAGCAUCAUUAUCAUCAGGAAAGACAUAAGUAUUAUAAGGACUUACCAUUGUACGCGAAUCAUUGGCGGAAGGGCCGACAUCACUGAGUAGCCCGAUGAAGGGGGGAAAGUCUGCAAAAGUAAUAUCUCAAAAUAUGAGCGAGUUACAAGUGUGAUCCAAUAGAAAACAAAGGUAGAAAUUGAUAGAGGGUACCUCCUUUCGCCGUUUCUUGGUAGGGGUUUUUAUUGGUAACCCGAACAUCAAAUCCACUGAGUGGCUUCGAGUUUUCCGAAAGGAAGUGUGUUGCGACUUCUUCAAGAGGAAAUUAGGGUCUAGACAAGCAUUCGGGUGAGACAUGGGAACUUUCCCACAAACUCGCCUGGCCGACUUAGGCGAAGGAGAAGUUGAGUCGGAAGAAAUGGAAAUUACCUCUACGGCGUCAUCCUGGCUUUCGUUAUCAUCAUUCUAUACAUGGAAAUGCAGAGAUAUAAGCACAAAUUAGAGUAAAAGUGCGUCAAGACAAAAAGGAUAAAAUUUUACCUCUGAAGACGCUUCGCCGACUUGGGAUUCGUCCACAUCAGACGAUUUGGCGACAGCGGCUUGGUUUUUACCCUUGGACUUCUUUUUAGGAGGCGAUUUGGUUUGCUUCAGGGCAAGCUUCUUCGGCCUUCGUGACCAGAAUCGGUCGCCCUUCUGAGGUGGAAUUAUCAUUAUGCAAGUCAGAAUCCGGGUAAGUUGNNNNNNNNNNNNNNNNNNNNNNNNNNNNNNNNNNNAAAGAGUGAACCAAGGGCGGGCCAAAUUAUUUACCUUAGGAGCCGGGUUAAUCUUGCAAAAUGGCCUAAGCCCUAUUUGGCUACAUUUGGCCAAAGGCUCGCCGGUUUGCUUCUUGAUGAUGCUCACAAUGUCUUCCUCUGUGAGUGCUAUGUGGAAGUAGCAUUGAGGAUGGUUCAAAGUACCAGCAAACUUGCACAUCAAGCCGUCUAGGCGACUCAAGGGAAGGAUGUGCCAUUCCACCCAGCAGCGGAUCAGAUCAACUCCAGUAAGACCAAUGUUUGUUAAAGAUCGUAACUCGGAUAGCACUCGAAUGAAAUCUGAUUCAUCUUCUUCGGUGAGCUUGUCAGGAAGUUUGAAGUUUGUGGGCAGACGCUCCUUCCUGUAGCCUAGGAGUUUGUUCUCACCCAGAGGAGAAGUGUCCCGAUAAUAAAACCAAGACUCGGCCCAGCCUUUGGGGUGGCUGGGCAUGGCGAGUGAUGGGAAUGGACUGUCCUUGCGUUGUUGAACAUUAACCCCUCCAAGUUCUAAGCUAGGGCCAUUGGAGAACUCGGUCUGGCGAUUCAGGUGGAAGAAAUACCAAAACAAAGUGACCGACGGUUCCAUUCGUAGGUAAGCUUCACAGAAUACCUGGAAUUAGCACAUGUUGCUGAUCGAGUUGGGGCCCAGGUCUUGUAGGCAGAUGUUCAUAAAAAACAUAGCAUCUCUGAGGAACUUUGACCCUGGCUGCUAAAACCCUCGUUCGAGGUGGUCAGCAUAAACAACUAUUUCCCCUUCGGCCGAGUUGGGAAUUUCGUCGCCUAGUCCAGAUCGUCAUCCAAUGACUUCCUACGGGUCAAGGUUCCAUGUAUUUACGCACUGCUCGAGGAAGGUGUCGUCAAUUUUGGUCGGGAGCCAGUCGGCCUUAAAAACGGUACCCAUAGCUACAGAGGAAAAGGUCAUGGGUAAGUUAACCCGCCAAAACGCUUGUCGAGUGGUUGGGAGAAUCUAUUAACUGGCCAACAAGGGACCAGGUUUGGGCACGAGGGCGAUUUAGGAAUUUCCCAUUACUCACAGGAGGUACCUCAGGGCAUCAAAAACAUGCAGAAAAAUGACGAGGCAUGAAUCUACAAACAGUCUUCUACAUAGCAAGCAAUGCAACGGGGAUGUGCGAGCAAGGUAAAAUAACGGAGAAAACCUGGAUAAAGUGAAACAGAUCACGGUUGAAAGCAACUACGGCAGGGGUGAUUUAACCAAAGCCCUCUUGGUUCUCUAAACCGAAAUUAAAUGGAUUGGAGAUGUGGUCGGUGCUAAUAUGCUAAGCUACCACAUUGGAUCGAUUGGCAAACGCCGAGGAGUUCAAGGAGUUCUAGGGCGCAGCGAAUGGCGAACGUUGAAAGGCUCGGAUCUGUUCGUAAUGGUGGAAGACUAACCUGUUAAACAACGUCCGGAGGCGAUUGUACAGACCCGCGGUGGAGAUGGUGUGCCCGUUUAGCUCGACGAUGCGACGGACGCAGUGGCCGACGGCGGAGACCCUCGGGCGACGAUGGAGCUCGUCGGGCGGCGGCGGAGUUCCUUGUGUGGCUUCGAGGAAGAAGAAGAAACAGAAGAAGAAUGGGCAAAGAUUCCCUCUGCCCCCAUUCUCGAGCCUAUUUAAUAGGUCAGGUGCGGGGAUCAAGGCGCCUCGCGCAGGAACCGAAGGGGGCAAAUUAAAGAUUCGCACUUAUGGCUCCAAUAUUUUCGGGAUAUUUGCGCCGAGAGAUCCGUUGGGGAUUGCGUCAUCAUUUUCUGGAAUUAAAGGGAUAAGGUGACGUCACCGUAAACGGUUCGGCGACUUGGGUAUUUCCAUGGUGGAUGGCGGCUUAAGCGUAUGGUGCACGAGAAAGGUGGAAUGAGUCGUUCCUAAAGUAGGUAAAAGUUUAUUGGCGUGAACAGGUUCAAGUCAAUAUGGGGCCUAAUGNNNNNNNNNNNNNNNNNNNNNNNNNNNNNNNNNNNNNNNNNNNNNNNNNNNNNNNNNNNNNNNNNNNNNNNNNNNNNNNNNNNNNNNNNNNNNNNNNNNNUAAGUCAUCAGGGAGUCUUCGAGUCUUGGAAAGCACGGCGAUUUAGAAACUAAAGGAAUCACGACUUGUGUUAUGGCAAGGACUCUUGUAAACCCUAGGGCCUCGACCUGUAUAUAAAGGCGAGCCCCUGGAGAGGGGAGGUCAGGUUAGAAAUCAUCGAGAGCUAGGUCAGGCGAGUUACGCCCUCCUUGUAAUCGAAACAUCAUCAAUACAACACUAGAAGGACAUAGGCUUUUACCUCACCACGAGGGGCCGAACCUGGGUAAAACCGAGUCCCUCUUCCACUCAAACCCCUUUGAGUCGCCACCAAGGUGCGAUGGCUCCAUCAUUAAGUCCUUUCACUAGGAAAUCUGCCGUGAGAAAACCACGACAAUAACCAUGGAGGCCAUCAUUCCAAUGGAGGGAGUUUGCAUAAUCAUAAUGGCCCCAAGAAUGGGAAUGGGAAUGGAGGAAGCAACGGACAGAACCGUUCCAACCCAGCAACGCCCGCCAAGAAGGAUCUAAGUCACAUUAGUUGUUUUUAGUGCGGGAAUAAUGGACAUUACGCCAUGGAGUGUCCUAAAGCAAAGAAUGGAAAUGGCAAUGGAAGCUCUGGGAAUAAGCCCAACCCUUUCAACAGGGGACAAGUGAACCAUGCUAGCAUGGAGGAGGUUGAAGCGCAACCCGAUUCAGUACUAGGUAAGUUUUUGGUUAGGUCAUUUACUGCAAUCGUUCUUUUCGAUACUGGAUAAGUAUAACCUGCCAACCCAAGCCCUUAGGUCACCCAUGUUAGUAACCUCGCCAGGAGCAGAGUACAUGGCUAGCCUAUGGUGUGAUCUGUUACCAUUAAGGAUUGGUAACUACGUGUUCCCCUCAGACCUAAUAGUAUUGGAGUCACAAGGACUGGAUGUAAUAUUAGGUAUGCAUUGGUUAUUGAAGUAUGGAGGGAACAUUGACUGCGCCAGUAAGUCGAUUUUUCUCACCAGCCCAGAAGGAAGAAGGAUUAAGUAUGUAUCCCGGCAUGUGCCGAAGAGAACUCUAGUAAAUUCCUUAUCAGGAGUUGUACAGGAGGAAGUACUAGUGGUGAAGGAUUUCCCUGAUGUAUUCCCAAAGGAGUUGCCAGGCAUGCCACCAGACAGAGACAUUGAGUUUUUGAUUGAGCUUUUGCCAGGCACAGGGCCAAUAUCUAAGAGACCGUAUCGGAUGCCCGCAAAGGAUUCGGAAACAAUUAAGAAAUAGAUUAAGGAGUUACUGGAUAGAGGCUAUAUUCGCCCAAGUUCGUCACCUUGGGGAUCACAAGUGCUUCUAGUGGAGAACAAGGAUGGAUCGUUGAGAAUGGUAGUGGAUUAUCGAGGAUUGAAUGAAGUGGAAAUGAAGAACAAGUAUCCACUGCAAAUGAUCAAUGAUUUGUUUGACCAAUUGCAAGGAGCUAAAUUAUUCUUCAAGAUCGAUCUGCGAUCACGAUACCACCAGCUAAAGGUUUGAGAGCAGGAUAUACCUAAGACAGCUUUUACCACAAGGUAUGGGCUAUAUGAGUAUACCGUUAUGUCAUUUGGUCUCACUAACGCACCUGCCUAUUUCAUGAACAUGAUGAACAAGGUGUUUAUGGAGUUUUUGGAUAAGUUCGUCGUGGUGUUCAUUGAUGAUAUUCUGGUCUACUCGAAGAAUGAAGAGGAGCAUAAGGAGCAUUUGUGUUUGGUACAUGGGAAACUCCGAGAACAUCAGUUAUAUGCGAAGUUCAGCAAGUGUUAGUUUUGGUUGAAGGAAGUUGGUUUCCUUGGACAUGUUAUAUCCGAAGAAGGAAUAGCAGUAGACCCCACCAAAGUUGUCACAGUGACUAAUUGGGAACCACCCACGUCAGUUGGAGAGAUCUGGAGUUUUCUUGGACUCGCAGGAUACUACCGGAGAUUCAUUGAGAAUUUCUCUAAGAUUGCAAAGCCCAUGACGGAGUUGUUGAAGGACACCAAGUUCAAAUGGACUGAGGAAUGUGAAGCCGGUUUUCGGGAGUUGAAGAAACGCUUGGUUACAGCCCCACUGCUGAUUCUCCCCGAUCAACGCAAGGAUUAUCAAGUGUAUUGCGACGCUUCUCGUCGAGGACUUGGAGCAGUGUUGAUGCAGGAGGGAAGAGUUGUUUCGGAUGCCUCAGGACAGCUUAAACCCCAUGAGUUGAACUAUGCUACCCAUGAUUUGGAGUUAGCAGCCGUAGUGCAUGUGUUGAAAAAGUGGAGACAUUUUCUCACCGGAAACCACUGUGAGGUGUACACAAAUCACAAGAGUUUGAAGUAUACUUUCACACAGAAGGAGUUGAAUCUUAGACCAAGGAGAUGUUUGGAGCUCAUCAAGGAUUUUGAUAUGAGGUUGCACUAUCAUCUCGGAAAGCCUAAUGUAGUAGUCGAUGCGUUGAGUCGCAAAAGUCAUGUCAAUACACUCAUGACCAGAGGAUUACCUGAGGAGUUAGCAGAAGAUCUUCGCGAGCUAUGGUUGGAAAUAGUUUCGAGAGGUUAUGUACUAGCAUUGGAGAUUCAGUCUACCCUGAUGGAUAAGAUUAGAGAAGCCCAGAAGACUGACAAAGAGAUUGCCAAGAUAAAGGAAAGGAUGAGCAAAGGAAAGGCUAAAGGAUUUCGUGAGGAUGAGCACGAUACCUUAUGGUUGAGGAUCGCGUAUAUGUGCCUAAUGACCCCGAGAUCAGGAAGUUGAUUCUGCAGGAGGCCCACGAUUCACCGUAUUCGAUUCACCCAGGAAAUACCAAGAUGUAUCUGAAUUUGAAGGACAGUUUCUGGUGGACCGGAAUGAAGAACGAUAUUGCGGAGUAUGUAGCAGUUUGUGAUGUAUUUCAGAGAGUGAAGGCGGAGCAUCAGAAGCCAGCAGGUUUGCUACAACCAUUGCAGAUACCCGAAUGGAAGUGGGACAACCUAGGAAUGGAUUUUAUAACGGGAUUGCCCAGGACUCGUUCAGGCUAUGACUCGAUUUGGGUUAUAGUCGAUCGUUUGACGAAGGUAGCUCAUUUCAUCCCAGUAAAGACCGCUUACACCAGUGCUAAGUUGGCAAAGAUAUACAUGACCAGGAUCGUAUGUCUGCAUGGAGUUCCGAGGACCAUUAUAUCAGAUAGAGGAACCCAGUUUACCUCAUAGUUCUAGAAUCAGUUGCAUGAAACGUUGGGUACCAGGCUAGAGUUUAGUACAACCUUUCAGCCUAAGACAUAUGGACAGACCGGGAGAGUCAAUCAGAUUUUAGAGGACUUGUUGAGAGCUUGUGCGCUAGAUUAUGGAUCUAGUUGGGACGACAAUUUGCCGUAUGCAGAGGUAUCUUACAAUAAUAGCUAUCAAGCCAGUUUGAAGUUGGCCCCUAUCGAAGCCUUGUACGGAAGGAGGUGCAGGAUACCGUUGUUAUGGGAUGAAGUUGGAGACCAUCAGUUGUUUGGACGGGAUUUGAUUAAGGAGUCUGAAGAGAAGGUUAAGUUUAUUCGCGAUAGACUCAAGGUAGCCUAGUCCAAGCAGAAGAGUUAUGCGAAUUCAAAACGCAACGAGACAAUUCAUGAAGUUGGAGACAAAGUUUAUCUUUGUGUGUCCCCACUUCGAGGUGUUAAGCAUUUUGGAGUUAAGGGAAAGUUAUCACCAUGUUUUGUGGGACCAUAUAUAGUUUUGGAGCGUAUGGGAGAAGUUGUUUAUAGGUUGGAAUUGCGAGAAGGAUUGUCAGGAGUUCCUGAUGUGUUCCAUGUUUCCCAGUUGAAGAAGUGCCACACAGAUAUGGCCAAUAUUCCUGUAAGAGAUACAGUGCCACUGGAAGCGAUUUAGUUGGAUAGCGAUUUAACUUACGAGGAGAAACCAUUGAAGAUUCUCGAGUUUGCCAGCCGAGUCACACGCAUCAAGGUUAUCAAGUUCUGCAAAGUUCAAUGGAGCCACCAUACCGAGGAUGAAGCCACCUGGGAAUGAGAAGAAGACCUACGGUAGGAUCACCCACACCUAUUCUCUAGCCAACCCGAAUCUCAAGGGCGAGAUUCAUCUGAAGGGGGUAGGUUUGUAACAUCCCGAAUUUUCAAUUUGGAAUGUUAUGCAUUAGAUCAUCAUUGCAUAUCAUAUUUUAUUGCAUUCUUGGUUGAUCCUAGAAAUUCUACGCAACUCAAGGACCCACGGAGAGUGUUGGGGAAUUUUCUAUUUUCAUAAUUGAGUUUUCCCAAAUUUUGAAAAGAGGAUCAUUCGGUUUUAAUUAUUUUCUCUUCAAAUAUUUCUAAAUAUAAAAUAAAACAGAGGGGAUAAAAUGACUUCCCCCAAAGAAAGAAAUAUUGGUGGAAAAAUAUUAAAAUCAAAUAGGAAUUUUAUUCAGAGUUUUAUUGCUAUUUUAUUUCAAUUAGAAAAAAUCCGUUUUUCAAAAUUGCAUUAGAGGCCCCAAUAAAUGUUCACCUUGUUCGUCAUAUUUUUAGAGGACGGGGAAAAUUUAUUUCAAGACUUUUGGAGUCUGUUUGAUAUUUCUUUUUAUUUAUCUUCUCCGCAUCGGAAUUAUUUAAAAAAAAGUCAAACCAUUUAAACGGGCCAUGUCCGACCGGGACUCUAUCCCGUCGGCCUUUAUAAGCCCAGCCGAGGCGCCCCGGAAACCCUCGUCGCCGCGCCGCUCAGCCGCGCCGCCGCCGCGCCGCCCAGCCGCCUCGCCGCCGUGCCGCCUCGCCGCCCCAUCGCCGACCCCGCCCUGAGGUAACCGGGUUUUUUAAAUAAAACCCUAGAUUUAUUUUUAGAUCAGUUUUAUUAUUUUAUUUCCGGUUUAUUUAAUUAGCGUACGUUCGUCUGUACGUUCGUUUUAACGAACGAUGUUCAUCCGUUAGCCGCAGACAGCGAACGUUCGUUCGUUAGCCUGUUUGUCAGUUUUUAUUUUUCCAUGGAUUUUCCACGAUUAUUUCUGAUCGCGAUUUCUGGACUGAUUUUCGUUUUAGUUUAUCUUUUCGCUCGUUUAUCGGAAUCAGGUGGUUCAAACGCCCAGAUCUUUUUCUCGAAACCCUCUUUCUGUUUAACCAACUUGAACAAGAUUUUUGUACUGUAAAAGUUGACUCUAGUCCAAAUUAGUAAACAAACUUGUUUCUUUCGCAGUUUGAGUUUCGCUGCUUCAUUUGUUUUGAUUCUUUUUGCAAACCGGAGUUCUUCAGUUGAACUUUCUGGUUAGAUCUCUUAUCUGAGUUUUCCCCGUGCAUCUAGUUUGAGUGCUUAUGUAUGUUAUUGUUUGUUUACGAUAGAGUACCCGGAGUGCGAAGCGUGCUACUAGUCUCUAGGUUUUGUGGAUCAUCAGCAAGGCAACUAACCCUUUGAUCAUACCUCUUUACUACCAAGUUUUAUUGCAUCAGAUCAACCCUCAACAUUGCAUGGUUAGGAUAUGAUUAACAUGUGGGUUUUGGGAAGUAGAUGAUGAGGUAGAACCUAUUGUCCUGUUUAUUAUCAAAUCUUUGGGAGUUACUUCUACGAUUUGCUUAUUGCUAUGCUAUGCUCGUUGACGUGGAUUGGGUGAGUGUAUCCAUGACAGAUGUGAGUAUUGUUAAUUAAUUGUUCACUUAAGGUGGCUACUUGAAUACACAUCUGGGUGGAUUGCUUGAGGCACCUUGGGGUACCCAGUGGUCGUCAGGGCACCUGGAGAAAUCCAGUGUUGUCCUAGGAUAUCACGGAGUAACCGUGUGAUCAUCCUACGGUCCGGCACACAGGCUCAAACGAAUCAUAAGAUUAUUCAUUCUAGAAACUUCCGUGGGCAGCCACAAGCCAUUAUGGGCUCUGGCAUAGUUGAGUAAGUUGCGUGAAGCUCUUGAAGCGGUAGACUAGCAGAUGUAGUGGGUUGUAGGUGGUACGGUCUACCGAGAGUAGAGAGUUAAUGCUUCAGAAAGACUAUGUCUUGAAUCUCUGACCAUGGAUGUAUUCGAGUCUUGUGGGAAAAGUGUGCAAACCUCUGCAGAGUGUAGAAACUAAUCAUCGUUAGCCGUGUCCCCGAUUAUAGACAUCUUGAGUAUCUGGUUCCUGGAUUAUCAUGUUGAUCUCAUCACUCUAAAUAAAUUUGUUGGGUUUAAUGAUGAUGCUUAAUUGGGAUUGAGNNNNNNNNNNNNNNNNNNNNNNNNNNNNNNNNNNNNNNNNNNNNNNNNNNNNNNNNNNNNNNNNNNNNNNNNNNNNNNNNNNNNNNNNNNNNNNNNNNNNGGUUGCCUUCAUUUUAUGGAAAGCAAUGUAUUUGUGAACAAUGAUAUCAAGAUUUUUCAAGGAAUAAUUUGGAUACCUUUCCUAUAUGUCUUUCCACAAAGUAUGAGCACACUCAAAGUUUUGCAACUGAUUAAUCACGUUUCUUGGUAAACCUCUAAUGAUAAGAUUGACGGUGUUGAGGUUGCCAAGCAUGUUAACUUCAUCAUCAUGAGAAGGAUCUAUGGGGUCAAUGGGAGGUGCAUAGGGAUAUUCAAUAUACUUGCGCAAAUGGAACUCAUCGAAUAUGUCAAGCUUUUCGUCUUUCCAUUGUCUAAAGUACUCCCCAUCAAAAAUAGGCACUCUACAACUAAAAAUCUAAGAACUAGUCACAUUCAUCUUCCUCCAAUGGCUGUUAAACCAAGGUUUUGGUGACCUUGCUCUGAUACCACUUGAGGGAUCGAUAUAAGAUGUCUCUGGGGGGGGGGGAAUAUGCUACUUGUCAAGAUAAAAUUUCUAGCCUAGCCAAAUUUCUAGGAGGGCAGAAAUCUAGCAGUUCUAACAAGUCCACAUACCCUACACAAGCAGUUCUAAGAGUCUAGCAGCGGAAAGUAAAACAUGCAAGUGUAAAGUAGAGGAGAAGGGAAGCAAGAUCAAACGCAUGGGGUUGACACGAUAAUUUUUGGCAUGGUUCCGAUAGGUGGCGCUAUCGUACGUCCAUGUUAGUGGAGACUUCAACCCACGGAGGGUAACGGCUGCGAGAGUCCAUGGAGGGCUCCACCCACGGAGGGUCCACAAAAAAACAGCUUUGUCUAUCCCCCCGAGGCUUCCUUCCACGGAGGACUAGUGUUACUCACGGUAGAUAUUCAUGAAGUAGGAGAUAUCCUUGCCCUUACAAACAUCUUUGUUCAACUCCACAACAUGAAGUAGGAGGCUCCCAAGCGAGACCUAACCAAUCUAGGAGGCACCAUGCUCCAAAAGGUAAUAUAUGUGGUAGAUCAAUGAACUCCUUGCUCUUGUGCUUAUAAAGAUAGUCUCCUCAACACAAAUAUCUCUCUCACAGAAUAUGCAUGGGUAGGAGAGGUUGACUUGGUGGAAAGCAGUUUGGGGAGGCUAGAGAUCAAUAUUCAAAUGAUUGGAUUGGAAUAUUUUGGAAUAUUCAAGGUAAUAUGUUGGUGACACCGAAUUUGUGAAUGUGGAACUUUAUAGAGUGGAUAUGUGGGAACAAUGACCGAGUGUUUUGGUGGCUAACUUUGAGCAUUUGAGCAAUCAGUUCAUUUUACUACCUCACCCGCUUUUAAUAGUAUUGGCUUUCCUAUGGACUCCAAAGUGAUUUCUCACAAGUAUGAAAUGAAGAGUCUUCUAGCUUGAAGCUUGAGCCAAUAUUAUUCCUUUCUUGCAUCCAGGGGCAUCUCCACAUAAACCUUAAGCCAUAGCUCUUCAUGGACUAAACCUGAAAUAUCUAGGUAAAAGUAUUAGUCCAAGAGGCAAUGUAUGUUGUCAUGAAUUAUCAAAAUCACCAAGGGAGUAUCUGUGCUUGCAAUGGUGUUGCAAUACGUUCUUGAUUCUCUUAUAGUGGGUGGCUAGAGUGACACAAGAUUACACCCGAGUAAGGGGGUUGUUGCGUAUGGUAGUAAAUGGGAAUUGAUGUUUACUGCUAUUGUUGGGUUUACCUUAAUGAUUUCUUGGAUUUGCGGAUUCUUGCUAGAGGUCCAAUCAUAAGUUCAUAUGAUCCAAGUAUGAAAACUAUGUUAGCUCAUGCCUCUCCGACAUAUAAAAUUGCAAUAAUGAUUACUGAUCUUGUUAUCAAUUACCUUGGAAAAUUCCGCACACCAUACCAUAAUUAUUCCACCCUUGCUUUUUUUAAUAUAAUAUAAUAUAUGCUAAAUUAUUUAGGCAUCAACUAUUUUUCAUAUUUUAGUUCUCCAAUAUCAUGCAAAGCUAUCCUCUUUAUACCUAGAGCACAAUUUUAUUUCUCCUUUCUAGUUAGAAGCAACUAGUGUGUGUACAUGGAGUUGUAUUAGUCGCAUAUAGGACUUGACAGAAUAUUGAUCUUACUUUUAGCUCCUUGUGGGUUUGACACUCCAUACUUACUACUUCCAUAUUUGGAAAGUGCUAUGAUGAUUCCUUGCACUUGGGGAUCAUCAGUCUCUAGUNNNNNNNNNNNNNNNNNNNNNNNNNNNNNNNNNNNNNNNNNNNNNNNNNNNNNNNNNNNNNNNNNNNNNNNNNNNNNNNNNNNNNNNNNNNNNNNNNNNNCUCACUUUGCAAACAAUCUAUAAGGGAUUGACAACCCCUUCAUAGUGUUGGGUGCAAGCUCUUUGUGUUUGUGCAGGUACUUGUGACUUGACUCGAUCCUCCUACUGGAUUGAUACCUUGGUUCUCAAACUGAGGGAUAUACUUACCGCCGCUGUGCUACAUCACCCUUUCCUCUUCAAGGGAACACCAACGCAAGGCUCCAAGGCCGCGGGGCUACAUCACCCUUUCCUCUUCAAGGGAACACCAACGCAGGGCUCCAAGGCCGCGAGGAAAUCCUUUGCAUAUUUGCCAAGGAAGUCCAUAUAGGCGUAGCCCGUAGCAGAAGGAUUCCUGGCGCCGUUGCUAGGGAAGGUCUUUUGUUGCCGUAGCAGUACCCUUGGAUAGCAAGGAUGGACGUCGUUCUUUUAUCGUUUGUCUUCGUACGUAGUCGGACCCUGCUCUUCAUCAUGAUGACUGUAUAUUGUUGUAUUGAUGUGAUCUUGAUGUAUCUUGUGGCAAGUGUAAGCCAACUCCUUAUACUUAUCUUUUCAGUACAUGUACUUGUAACGAUAUCCAUUCUUGCGAAACGGCGAGAUGUGUUUCAAUUCCUGUCGAGGCCCUCGCGCCAAAAUAAGGAUAGGACCGCAUCUUGGGUUUUACAAUGUGGCACUAAGAUAUAUUGUGAUGUGCUGACAAUUUGGUUAGUGGAACUAAUGCCAGUUUGUAGAGUUUACCUCGGGAUAUUGGUUUCACGGAGAUCCCAUUGGAGUUGUGUGACCACCCAUAAUAGGGGAUUUGUGGUGCGAGAGUUGCAACCUGAAAAGUGCAUGUGGCACUAAGAUAUAUAGUGAUGUGAUGACAAUCUGGUUAGUGGAACUAAUAUCAGUUUGUAGAGUUUAUCUUAGGAUAUUGGUUUCACAGAGAUUCCAUUGGACUUGUGUGACCCCCCACCAUUCAAAAAGGUCAAGUCGUAUUUACCGAUGACUCAAAGGUUUUUGUUGGUUUGAUUUGAGUCGUAUGAAAAUCGCACUAUCAAGAGGGGUCAUCAUGGAUGUGUCAUGUGUGAAUGCCUCCAAACUUAUACACCAGCCAUCCUACACCUACGACCAAGAAUCCACUUAUAAUGUGCUUUUUGAGGUGUCUUGUGAGCUUCAACAAAAACUCUCUCGACACCCGAGGUUCCACGAAACUCUCUUGACAUCCCAUGAUCACGGGGUCCUAGACCCUCGUGUGCACNNNNNNNNNNNNNNNNNNNNNNNNNNNNNNNNNNNNNNNNNNNNNNNNNNNNNNNNNNNNNNNNNNNNNNNNNNNNNNNNNNNNNNNNNNNNNNNNNNNNCCAAACAUUUUGAGUAUGUGCUCACUGACAGAACUGUUCUCCUCCAUCUUACAGCUAAAGAACUUGUCGGAGACUUCAUAUCUCUCGACACGAGCAUGAGCUUGAAAAACUAGCUUCAGCUCCUGGAACAUCUCAUGUGCUCCGUGUUGCUCAAAACGCCUUUGGAGCCCCGUUUCUAAACUGUAUAACAUGCCACACCUAACCAGAGAGUAGUCAUCACUCCGCGUUUGCCAGACGUUCAGAAUGCCCUGGGCUGCCGCGGGAGCGGGAGGGUCACCUAGCGGCGCAUCAAGGGCAUAAGCCUUUUUAUCUGCCUCAAGGAUGAGCUNNUAGCGGCGCAUCAAGGGCAUAAGCCUUUUUAUCUGCUUCAAGGAUGAGCUUCAAGUUGCGAACCCAGUCCGCAUAGUUGCUACCAUCAUCUUUCAGCUUGUUUUUCUCUAGGAAUGUGUUGAAAUUGAGGUUGACGUUGGCCAUCUACAAUAUUUAUAAAGACAAACCUUUUAGACUAAGUUCAUGACAAUUAAGUUCAUUUAAUCAAAUUAAGUAUGAACUCCCACUUAAAUCGACAUCCCUCUAGUCAUCUAAGUGAUACAUGAUCCAUGUUGACUAACCCGUGUCCGAUCAUCACGUGAGACGGACUAGUCACCAUGGUGAGCAACUUCAUGCUGAUCGUAUUCAACCAUACGACUCAUGUUCCACCUUUCGUGCUGAUCGUAUUCAACCAUACGACUCAUGUUCGACCUUUCGGUCUCUUGUAUUUGAGGUCAUGUCUGUACAUGCUAAGCUCGUCGAGUCAACCUAGGUGUUUCGCGUGUGUAAAUCUGGCUUACACCCGUUGUAUGCGAACGUUAGAAUCUAUCACACCCGAUCAUCACGUGGUGCUUCGAGACAACGAACCUUCGCAACGGUGCACACUUAGGGGAAUACGUUCUCGAAAUUUUAAGAGGGAUCAUCUUAUUAUGCUACCGUCGUUCUAAGCAAUAAGAUGAAAAACAUGAUAAACAUCACAAUACAAUCAUAUAGUGUCAUGAUAUGGCCAUUAUCAUCUUUGCUCUUUCGAUCUCCAUCUUCAGGCAUCGCAUGAUCAUCACCAUCACCGGCAUGACACCAUGAUCUCCAUCAUCAUGAUCUCCAUCAUCGUGUCUCCGUGAAGUCGUCACGCCAAUUACUUCUAUCACUACCACUAUGGCUAACCGUUAGCAAUGAAGUAAAAGUAGUAAGCACAUGGCGUUGCAUCUCAUACAAUAAAUUAAGACAACUCCUAUGGCUCCUGCCGGUUGUCAUACUCAUCGACAUGGAAGUCGUGAAACCUAUUACAAUAACAUGAUCAUCUCAUACAUCAUACAUGCAACAUCACAACUUUGGCCAUAUCACAUCACAUGUCAAACCGUGCAAAAACAAGUUAGACGUCCUCUAAUUGUUGUUGCAAGUUUUACGUGGCUGAUUUGUGUUUCUAGCAAGAACGCCUUCUUACCUAUGUGAAAGCCACAACGAUGAUAUGCCAAAGCUAUUUACCCUUCAUAAGGACCCUUUUCAUCAAAUCAAUCCGACUAGAGUAGGAGAGACAGACACCCGCUAGCCACCUUUAUGCACGGUGUGCAUGUCUGUCGGUGGAACCAGUCUCACGUAAGCGUACGUGUAAAGUCGGUCCGGGCCUCUNNNNNNNNNNNNNNNNNNNNNNNNNNNNNNNNNNNNNGGGCCUCUUCAUCCCACAAUACCACCGGUAAAGAAUAAGACUAGUAGCGGCAAGCAAAUUGACAAAUCAUCGCCCACAACUUUUGUGUUCUACUCGUGCAUAGAAUCUACGCAUAGAAAACCUGGCUCGGAUGCCACUGUUGGGUAACGUAGCAUAAAUUGAAAAUUUUCCUACGCAUAUUCAGAUCUUCCUAUGGAGAGACCAGCAACGAGAGAGGGGUAAGAGCAUCUUCAUACCUUUGAAGAUCGCUAAGCGGAAGCGUUGCUAGAACACGGUUGAUGGAGUCGUACUCGCAGCGAUUCCGAUCUAGUGCCGAACUACGGCACCUCCGCGUUCAACACACGUGCAGCCCGGUGACGUCUCCUGCACCUCGAUCCAGCAAGGAGGAGGGAGAGGUUGGGGAAGAACUCCAGCAGCAUGACGGCGUGGUGUCGAUGGAGAGACGAGGUCUCCCGGCAGGGCUUCGCCAAGCACGGGCAGAGAGGAGGAGGAAGAAGGGCAGGGUUGCGCCGAGAGAGAGGCAAAAGUCUAUCUCUCAAUGGCCAAAAGUGCCCGAUAUAUAUAGGGAGAUGGGAGAGGGGGUGCCACCCCUAGGGUUCCCACCCUAGGUGGUGCGGCAGCCCCCCCAGAUGGGAGGUGCGGCGGCCAGAGGGGGGAGGAGGGGGUGGCGCACCACCUGGUGGGCCUUAGGCCCACCUGGCUUAGGGUUUGCCCCUCUUUUCUCUCCCCUGCGCAUUGGGCUGAGUGGGGAGGCGCACCAGCCCACCUAGGUGCUGGUUCCCACCCCCACUUGGCCCAUCUUACCUCCCGGGGUCGUUGCCCCCCUUCGGUGGUCCCCCGGGGCCACCUCCGAUGGUCCGGGUGGUCCCGGUACGUUACCCGUUAUGCCCGAAACACUUCCGGUAUCCGAAACCAUCCGUCCUAUAUAUCAAUCUUUACCUCCGGACCAUUCCGGAGCUCCUCGUGAUGUCCGGAAUCUCAUCCAGGACUCCGAACAACUCUCGGUAACCUCGUAUAACAAUUCCCUAUAACCCUAGCGUCACCGAACCUUAAGUGUGUAGACCCUACGGGUUCGGGAGACAGGCAGACAUGACCGAGACACCUCUCUGGCCAAUAACCAUCAGCGGGGUCUGGAUACCCAUGGUGGCUCCCACUUUCUCCACGAUGAUCUCAUCGAAUGAACCACGAUGUCAAGGAUUCAAUCAAUCCCGUAUACGAUUCCCUCUGUCUGUCGGUAUAGAACUUGCCCGAGAUUCGAUCGUCGGUAUGCCUAUACCUUGUUCAAUCUCGUUACCGGUAAGUCUCUUUACUCGAUGCCCAUACGUUGUUCAAUCUCGUUACCGGUAAGUCUCUUUACUCGUUCCGUAGCACGUCAUCGUGUGACUAACUCCUUAGUCACAUUGAGCUCAUGAUGAUGUUCUACCGAGUGGGCCCAGAGAUACCUCUCCGUCACACGGAGUGACAAAUCCCGAUCUUGAUUCGUACCAACCCAACAGACACUUUCAGAGAUACCCGUAAUGCACCUUUAUAGUCACCCAGUUACGUUGUGACGUUUGAUACACCCAAAGCACUCCUACGGUAUCCGGGAGUUGCACAAUCUCACGGUCGAAGGAAAAGACACUUGACAUUAGAAAAGCUUUAGUAUGCGAACAAUACGAUCUAGUGCUAUGCUUAGGAUUGGGUCUUGUCCAUCACAUCAUUCUCCCAAUGAUGUGAUCCCGUUAUCAAUGACAUNNNNNNNNNNNNNNNNNNNNNNNNNNNNNNNNNNNNNNNNNNNNNNNNNNNNNNNNNNNNNNNNNNNNNNNNNNNNNNNNNNNNNNNNNNNNNNNNNNNNAGUCUACCUCGGUGUACUAAUUUUCAUAGUAGUAAGGAUGAAAUUAGCUGGAAGACAAAUGGUGUGUCACACAAAUCGUAUAUUUCAAGUCAAAGGUAUGAUUCAUAUACAAGGUGUGAUUCUACUGUGAGUACGAUUUGAAACAUGCUAUACCCCGAAGAAAGCUAGAAUGUGAUAUGAAUUCACUACUCAACAAGAAGGAUACCCGCACAAACUUUUUCAUACAAGUAUCCAGCAGUCGGAAUAUUAANNNNNNNNNNNNNNNNNNNNNNNNNNNNNNNNNNNAGCAGUCGGAAUAUUAAAGGGUAUAUAUAUGGUAGUAAGUCAACAUAUCCCAGAUAGAAGCUUCUACUGUAAGCAACCUAGUCUGCCCUCACAAGCUACCGAAGAAGCUUACAAUGCAUGAUUCCUCUACCUUCCUCAGUAUGAUACGUGGAUGAAUUCUCGUGCAAGAUACUCAUGCUUCUUCCGUAAGCUACUGCAAAAGCUUCUGGCAUAAGGUAUUGAGUCUUCCCUAGCAAGACUUUAAGGGGGGAAGCUUCUAAAGUACGGUACUCAAUCUUCUUCAACAAGCUGUCUGACAAAAGCUUUGAGCACAAGCUAUUCAACUCGAUACUCUCGAUGUCUUCCAAUGGAAGCCGUCCAACUUUCCUCAAUACGACACCGCUCCAAGAUAUUACACACUAAUAUGGUAAUAUAUGGCAGUACAUCCCAAGAAUCAAAUCCACAAUAGUUUGGUCAGAAGCUAGAAUCAAUCAGAACACAAGUCUACCUCAGGAAUCAAAUACUUCCAUAAACACUAUGAGCAUGCUACCAAAUUCAUGCAAGUCACUCGCACGAUGAUGAAAUAACGGUAAGAAUCCAACAACCUCACGAGUUACGCAAGAGUAAAAAGUGAGUUAUACACUUCAGGGAGUGAUGCAGGGACCGACCAACUUUGUUGAAAGAUAGCGUGAGAAAAUUAUUUUUGGCAGUGCAUAUCCAGGCCAAACAUGGUGAUAUCGUUAACCCUUAUCACGAGCUUGUAUGAUGGACGACAACAAUGAGCUCUCUACAAGCACAUGUGAAUCUAGCAUAUAUCCUAUGGCCCGAGUCGUGAACAAGGCCAAUGUAUGAUGGCCAAAAUAUUGCAUAUGACAGCACCUCUGGUCACAAGAAUUGAAGAUAUAUAUGUGGACAAGAUCCUUCGGCAAAAGGAUCCACACAAAGAAACCAAUAAUGAAGGAGCGAGACCGUCAAUACAAAUAUGCCACUUGUUGCUUGACCAACAAGGUAGAGAUACCAGGACGGUCAGGUUUAGUAUUGUUUACCAUUGACUAUCCACCUAAGGGGUCUACUCCAUCUGUAAGGACCUCAUAUCAAGAUAACCCGCUCAACCAACAUUAUCUGCUCAAAACUGCUAGUAUCGACUAUCCAAGUCUAUCACGUAAAACAAAAGGCCAGCUCAACAGAUUAAAUUCAAUAACCGUGUUAAAGCAUGACAAAUCCUACUAUCCACAAGAAUAUAGCAACCGAAUAAGAAUGUAGUAUGCUAAACAACAGUCUCGAAGCAUGUGCCCUCGCAUAGGGGAAUCAGUUAAAGGAUAGCCUGCCAAGAACAAGAUGCUUCUGUCAGAACCAACGUCUGUUAAGUCUCGAGAUGCUACUAUUAUAAGGCUAUACUCCUUUCUACUGGUCACAACAAACGACAGUCAGACCUUUGGUAUGAAUCUGGUACUCAAGACAGUGGAAAUAUCCAAGAUGAUGAAGGAAUACGAGUGAGAAGUCACACNNNNNNNNNNNNNNNNNNNNNNNNNNNNNNNNNNNNNNNNNNNNNNNNNNNNNNNNNNNNNNNNNNNNNNNNNNNNNNNNNNNNNNNNNNNNNNNNNNNNCUUGGAUAAAAUAGGUCAUUCCGGAGCAAACUAUGCUUAUUAAGCCAGUUUGGAUCUAGCUAGGCUAAUUAUAGGCCAUUUAAUACCUAAAUUAGAGGGAAUUGGUCAUCUUACAACUACGUAAGCCUUAUUAUGUUAUUUAGGAGAGAACUUAGCUAACUGUAGGUCAUUUUUUAUUAAAUAGGUCAUUUUGGAGCUAACUAAGCUAAUUAUGUCAUUUCGUAGGAUAAUUAGCCAAUUUAGCCUUUCUUAGAUGAGUCUAAGCUACGUAGAAGAAGAGAAAGAGAAGAAGAAGUAAAAGAAGGAGGAGGAGGAGGAGGAGGAGAAGGAGAAGGAAGAGGAGAAGAAGAAGAAAAGAAGAAGGAGAAGGAGAAGGAGGAAGAAGAAGGAGAAGGAGGAGCUCCUUCUCCUUCUUCUUAUCCUCCUCCUUCUCCUUCUUCGUAGGAUAAUUAGCCAAUAUAGCCAUUUUGGAGCUAACUAAGUUAAUUAUGUCAUUUAGAUGGAAGUCUAGUUAUUUUUUAUUAAAACACNNNNNNNNNNNNNNNNNNNNNNNNNNNNNNNNNNNNNNNNNNNNNNNNNNNNNCUAGAAAUAACAUAACAUUAUCGUCAUCACAGCGGUGAAGCACGGUGGCUCUGGCUUGUUUCACCUGGAGAAGGCUGCCAUGGAGAAGGCUCGACUGUAGAAGGGUCGUGCGAUGCUUUUUGGGAGAUAUUCUGCACCAAACAUCAUUUGCAAUGUGUAGUUAGCAUGAGGACACUCUUAAGAUCACUGCACUGAAAUGAAACUCACCAUCCCCGCCACGUUAAUGACUGGCAUCGGCGGAGGGACUUGGUCGCUCUUCUCGCACAUAGACUGUACAUUUGGUUUCGACAAGUCAAACUUUUUAUUUAUUAAUGAAACGGACAUUCAAAUGCAAGAUUUGAAAUAACAUGAAGAAGAAACUUACCACGAAGAGCUCGUAUAUGGCCCUGUUAGACGCAUCAUUCCGUGCCCUCUCCGCCUCCACCAAUGCAGUCGUCCUCUCCUCCAGCUCCCUAAUUUCCUUAUCCUUCUCCGCCAUAGCCGCCUGCAUUGCCUCUCUCUCUUUCUGAAUAGCAGCCUGCAACACAACUCGUUGUUAGCAAUGUAAUCAUAUUGGUUCCAACGCACAACAUAAUGCGGAAAGAUAGUUGAGUCCAUUAAACUAACCUCGAUGGUGAGCUCGAGGUCGUGGAUGACGUGUUAUCUCCGUACAAGAGCUCGUUUGGCAUGCCUUUAUCUACCGGAGAGUGCUAGGACAACGUAUAAGGUCGUCUCCAAUGGAGAUCGAGCCAUGGGGCCUCCCGUUGCCAGCUAUCAUCACCAGCUCUGGAUCAAUAGGCCCCCCGCUCGGGUUAAAGUCCUCCCCUUUCCUCGCCUUCCCGUGAUCUCUGUACUUCACGAGCUUGUGGUGGGAGGCGAUGUUGGUGAAGUUUUCUGGAUGCUUGUGGUGGGAGGAGAUGUUGGUGAAGUUUUCUGGAUGCUCGAGGUCAGACUCAGAGAAUGCCUUGACCUUCUUUUACGAGGCAGUAUGGGCCAUCGCAUACAGGUCGUACAUCUGUGGCACCUCCGUCUUAUUGUGAUGCGACUAAAAGAGAGAGAGAGGAAAUUGUAUUCGUAGAGGGCUCAAGAUAGCAUUAAGAAUGAACUGCAUGAGGCAUGAAGCAAACCACAUACCGAGUUCUCGCCAAAUUGGAUUAAGUUGAUGCUCCCUUGAUGGUGUGGNNNNNNNNNNNNNNNNNNNNNNNNNNNNNNNNNNNNNNNNNNNNNNNNGGCACGCCAACCAUUUUGCCACGCCUCUCCUUGGCGUUGUUGUGGCUGGCCUCCCAUGUUUCGGAGCACCACUGGUCCACCAAUGCCUCCCAACAAUCCAUCUUAUCCACACACCAUCUCGGGGGCACCUAAGUUAAUAAAGAGAAAUUUGAGCGCGUAAGAACCAAAUCAAGGAAACUAACUACAAAGCCUUAAUAAUAUGUAAUUACCUUCAUGUAAUUCUCCUUCUCCAUCUUAGCGUCACGGCACUUCGCCUUGUCAAUCCUAAUACGCCACGUGGCAUAGUAGUCUCGAACACCCUGCACCCGAGCCUCGUGCCGAAAGUUUUGAAGUAGGCGGCGACAUUCGGUUUCGAUAACCUUUGUUGCGUCCUCCUCGUAUCCCUCGUCACACCUGUAGUAGGUCUGCAAACGAGGCAACACCGAUUAGUACAAUAAAUAGCUAUGGUUGAUUUAUAAUUGUGUGAAGGAGAAAUUACCCAGAACUUUCGGAUCACCAUGUCCGCCCUCGUGUCGCACAAAACACCGUCGAUCUCCACCUCCGGCGGGGCCGGGGCACCCAAGUAGUGCUCCCAGGUCAUUCCUACCUCUCGCUCCCGACCGGGAAACGUAACAAACCCUGGGAAGUUUUUACGGCAAAGCGCACCAAGGACGCUGUUGGGUUUGCGGACCCCCUUGGCAACAAUCCAACCCCUACAGUAUGACAAAUUAAAGACAAAACAUUAGAUAUUUGGGAAAACGCGAAGGCAAAAGGUUAAAUAAGAGUAAAUUAACUUACUUGUCCCCAUUUGGCCUAAUCGACCACCUGUGCUCGGGGUUCGCUGGCACGAGCGGGAGCCCCGAACUACCACACUGGUAGACAAUAGCCCCCUCACCUAUCUCCUCGUCGCUACCAGCAUCCGACUAGGUCUCUUANNNNNNNNNNNNNNNNNNNNNNNCAUCCGACUAGGUCUCUUAGGACGUACCCUCAUCCCUUCUUUGCUCCGGAGUCGCCUGGAAUGAAGCCUCUGGGACACGAGUCUCAUGGGUCGAAGGCUCGUCGACCUAAGGCUCGUCGACCCGAGGCUCGUGCACUGGAUAUAGUGUAGCCUCCACCUCAGACGAAUCCACCCUAGAAGUCCUGUGCUUAGGUGAAUCAGCGUGGGGUGGUGGCGAAGACCGUGUAGCCGCCACCUCAGAAGGCGUGGCAGCCACCGCCCUACCUCUCCUGCGGCCACGUGUACCUUUAGUACUACAUAAAUACCAACAUGAGUAAUAAAAUGUAUAUAAAUACCAUUAUGCAUACAACAUGAGUACAACAUAAAUACCAACAUGAAUACAACGUGUACCUUUAGUACCUCUCGGCUUCGCGGGGGGUCGACCUCCUCUCACGGGGGGUGCUCCUUGCAUAGUAGAGAGCAACACUCUCCGAAGAGGCGAGGCAGGAAUGGAAGUACCCAUCCCAUCACCCACCGACGAAGAAGGAGCCGCGGAGUGCUUUCGACCCUUUCCCACCAUCUUUCAACACCUGUCAUGACAAAGGGUAAAUGAAAUUAGUACAAAAUAAAUACCAACAUGAGUAAUAAAAUGUAUAUAAUUUAAGUGUAUCAUCAUCAUAAAUACCAACANNNNNNNNNNNNNNNNNNNNNNNNNNNNNNNNNNNNNNNNNNNNNNNNNNNNNNNNNNNNNNNNNNNNNNNNNNNNNNNNNNNNNNNNNNNNNNNNNNNNACCAAAUUAGGUCUUACUUUUAUGUAGUUUCCUUGGUGAUAUUCAUAUGCCUCUGUUAUACUUUACUUGAUGUUAAGUUAUAUGCUAUGUGACAUGAUAGCAAGUCAGGAAGGCUGAAAGUGGGAGGCCAUGUUGAACGCAACGAUUAUUGAUACACUUAGGCUAUUAGGAAACCAAGAUCUUGAAAUAUAUUUUUCUAAGAAUGAGCACACUAUCCAUACGCAGGACAUUAUGGGAGCCCAUGGACACUUUCUACAGUUGUAAAUUGUCCACGGGUCAUAAUGGUGUUGUACUAUUUGUAUGUAUUGUUUUGCAGGUAUGAGGAGACGUUCCAUGGUAAUGGUAUGAUUUUACCAUUAGGGUGUUUUUUCCCAUGAUGUUCCUUUGGGCCCGCAUGUGUAGGACUUCCCCACUAGUCCUAAAAUUGUGUGGUUGCGAAUGGCUAUGCUCGGACUCGACACUAGCCACGUGUCACUGGUGUGACACAAUUGGAUCCGAUUCAGAGAUAUAUCUCCCCGACUAGGAUGUAGUAACGAAGUACGUAUCAUUUGUUUGAAACUACGUAGCUUAGCCCGUCGUGGGUCACAACAUAAGGUCGGCGAGCAUGUGUUGUCAUGCCAUUCAGAACUUUAGCUGCUAUCACAAGAAAUGGGCGCCCCCCGUGGGUCAGUUCUUGUUGUGAACAACGUGUGUAUGGAGCUUAUAGUGGGUAUGCAUGGUUAAGGAUGACUUGAGCUUUAUGACAGUUCAUAAGAUAACUUCAAUCAUACUCGCCAAAACUUGUCCGCCCUUAAACUUCAUGUUAAUUGCAUGUUCUACUUCAACCAUAAUUAAUGGAAACCCGUGCACCACAUGAGUGACAUGGGGUAAUUCCUUGGGGAGGGUGUCAGGGAGGAUUCGUGGUGGUGGUAUGCUUGACAGUUGGAUAGAAUGCUCAUGUGCACACAACACUUGUGUUGUGAUGCAUGAAAUUUGGGACAUGUGGUCCUUUGGUUCUCAUGUUGUUCCACUAGACAUAAGUUGUAGCAUUGCCUAGUGCUUGCAACUUCACCACUCAUCCUUUCCAUACCUAUCGGUAUUGUUAUUUGUAGUACCCUUGGUAAUGAUACUUUUCAAGUACCCUGGUACUCACCCUUACCAUAAUAACAGGUUGCAUAUAUUGUGAUGGAUAAUGUUAGCUUGGUUGUCCUUCGGACAAUGGUCUUGGCAAGGUAAUGGACGCAUUUGCUUUUAUUUGAGCCUUCUUGACGCAAUUUGUAUUCUUGCUUCUCCGCCUCCCCCAUAUGAAUUGGACUUUGGUCAUAAGACCCUGAAUGUAUCAAAUAUUGCAUAUGUAUGUAUCUUGUUGUAUGCGGAACUUAUAAUNNNNNNNNNNNNNNNNNNNNNNNNNNNNNNNNNNNNNNNNNNNNNNNNNNNNNNNNNNNNNNNNNNNNNNNNNNNNNNNNNNNNNNNNNNNNNNNNNNNNUCACCUACAUGCUACGUCAACAACAUCAUUCGAAGGUAUGUACUCAUUCGAAGUGAUAUGAGGAGAUCGAAAUUCUUAAUCGAAAAAAUGGUAAACCAAUUUCGCGCUUAACGAUGAGUAUGACCUAUGAUCAAGCAUCCUUGCUUGACUCCUCAAGUCAAAUACUCUAAUAUACACUACAGGAAUUAGCUUCUUUGCCAUCUUCCAUCACAGACGGCAAAGAGUAUAUCACAGACUGCAAAGAGUAUAUCACAAACGGCAAAGAAUCUCACUGUCGACAAAAUUUCCGCGUUAGCCUACGACAACAUUGUAGCUUCUUUGUCGUCUGCUUCACCGAAACGGACGGCAAAGCUCUUUGCCGUGAGCUUUCCAUGAGAGCAGUCGGCAAAUAUGUCGAGACGGUAGCCGGCAGGCGUUGCCUCCGUUAGGGACUAACGGAGGCUUUGCCGUCUGCCUCCCCUCUUCUGUGCCGUCUGCCCCCCCCCCUCUUCUUUGCCAUAUGCCUCCCCCUCCUCUGUGCCAUCUGCCUCCCCCCUCUUCUUUGUCGUCUGCAUCCCCCCUCUUCUGUGCGGUCUACCUCCCCCUCUUCUUUGCCGUCAGCCUCCACCUCCUCCCCCCCUCCUCUCUGCCCUCUUCUUUGCCGUCUACCCCCUCCCUUGAAGCAGACGGCAAAGAUACUAUAUGUCCAGCUGCUGCUGCCCAGGUUGCACAGCUGGGUGCCACGUGGCACCUUUGCCGUCGGUCAGCUGAUGGCAAAGGCCUUUGCCAUCAGCUGGCAGACGGCAAAGAGCCUAUAUUGUCACAUUUUUGUUUAUUUUUUCUAUUUCAUAGCACAUAUAUAUAUAAUUCAUAGCACAUCUAUGAUAAAUAGGUCACAACACAUAUAUGAUAUACAUAUAAAGCUCAUCAAUGCCAUUUGUUCAUCAAAGUACAUCACAUAUAUUAAAAGAACCAACACAUACAAAGUUUCGUCCAUAUAUACAUACAUAUAGUUGCACAUAUAUUGUUCAUCCAUAUAUACAUAUACAUAUAGUUCCACAUUGUUCAUCAACUCAAAUAAAAACGGGAACUAAAGCACUCCAAUGCCAGCUUCCAUGCAUGUAGUACAUCCAAUCUGCAAAAUGGGAAUAAGAAACACAGAAGAAGAAGAAGAAGAAGAACAUAUAUAUGACAAAUAAGCUAAAUUGAAGAAGAAAGAGAAGAAGCAAGAAGAGAACAAGGAGAAGAAAAACAAGGAGGAGGAGGAGGAGGAGGAGGGGAAGGAGAAGGACAAGGAGGAGGAGAAGAAGAAAAAAGAAGAAGAGAAGAAGAAGGAGAAGAAGGAGGAGAAGGAGGAGAGAAGAAGAAGGAGAAGAAGGAUGGCUCCUUCUCCUUCUUCUCCUCCUUCUCCUCCUCCUCCUUCUUCUUCUCCUUCUCCUUCUCCUUCUCUUCUUCUUCUCUUCUUUUUCUUCUUCUUCCUUCUUUUCAUUUCUCCUCUUCUUGGAGCUAAAUUAGCUAACUAUGUCUUUUCGCAGCUAAAUGGGCUAAUUAUGUCAUUCUAGCGGAAAACAAGCUAAGUAUAUAAUAUUAAUGAGCUAAUCAAGGUUCUUAUGCCAUUUUGAGCUUAUUAUGUCUUUUAGGAGCUUAAUUAGUCAUUUUAUUGAGCUAACCAAGGUUCUUAUGAUGUUUUUACCUAACUAAGCUAAUUAUGUCAUUUUGGAUGAUAAUUGGCUAAGUAUGUCUUUGUUGGGGAAAAUAAGCUAAAUUGAAGAAGAAGAGGAGAAGAAGGAGGGAAGAAGAAGGAGAAUAAGGAGGGCUCCUUCUCCUCCUUCUCCUUCUUCUCUUCUUCUUCUCCUCCUCCUUCUUCUCCUUCUCCUUCUCUUCUCUUUCUCUUCUUCUUUUUGUUCUUCCUUUUUAUUUCUCCUCUUCUCCUCUUCUUGGAGCUAAAUUAGCUAACUAUGUCAUUAUAGAGGAAAACAAGCUAAGUAUAUAAUAUUAAUGAGCUAACCAAGGUUCUUAUGCCAUUUUGAGCUUAUAAUGUCUUUUUGGAGCUAAAUUGUCUAAUUAUGUCAUUGUUGGGGAAAUUAAGGCAAGGAGAAUAUGAAAGAAGAAAAGAAAGAGGAGGAGGAGAAGAAGAAGAAGAAAUAAAGAAGGAGGAGGAGAAGGACUAGAAGGUCCUUGGCCUUCUCCUCCUUCUCCUCCUCCUCCUCCUCCUCCUUCUCCUUCUUCUNNNNNNNNNNNNNNNNNNNNNNNNNNNNNNNNNNNNNNNNNNNNNNNNNNNNNNNNNNNNNNNNNNNNNNNNNNNNNNNNNNNNNNNNNNNNNNNNNNNNGGAGGAGGAGAAGGACUAGAAGGUCCUUGGCCUUCUCCUCCUUCUUCUCCUCCUCCUCCUCCACCUCCUCCUUCUUCUCCUCCUCCUUCUUCUCCUUCUCCUUCUCUUCUCUUUUUCUUCUUUUUUGUUCUUCCUUUUCAUUUCUCCUCUUCUUGGAGCUAAAUUAGCUAACUAUGUCAUUAUAGAGGAAAACAAGCUAAGUAUAUAAUAUUAAUGAGCUAACCAAGGUUCUUAUGCCAUUUUGAGCUUAUAAUGUCUUUUUGGAGCUAACCAAGGUUUUUAUGCCAUUAAGGAGAAUAAGGAGGAGGAGGAGGAGGAGAAGGACUAGAAGGUCCUUGGCCUUCUCCUCCUUCUCCUCCUCCUCCUCCUCCUUCUCCUUCUUCUCUUCUUCUUCUUUCUUUUCAUUUUUCCUAUUUAUUCUCCUCUUCACCUCUUCUUGGAGCUAAAUUAGCUAAAUAUGUCUUUUUGGAGCUAAAUGGUAUAAUUAUCCCAUUUUAGAGGAAAACAAGCUAAGUAUAUAAUAUUAAUAAGCUAACCAAGCUUCUUAUGCCAUUUUGAGGUUAUUAUGGCAUUUUGGAGCUAAAUGGUCUAAUUAUGUCAUUGUUGGGGAAAUUAAGGAAAGGAUAAUAUGAAAGAGGAGAAGAAAGAGGAGGAGGAGAAGAAGAAGAAGAAAUAAAGAAGAAGGAGGAGAAGGAGGAGGAGGAGGAGAAGGACUAGAAGGUCCUUGGCCUUCUCCUCCUGCUCCUCUUCCUCCUCCUCCUCCUUCUCCUUCUUCUCUUCUUCUUCUUUCUUUUCGANNNNNNNNNNNNNNNNNNNNNNNNNNNNNNNNNNNNNNNNNNNNNNNNNNNNNNNNNNNNNNNNNNNNNNNNNNNNNNNNNNNNNNNNNNNNNNNNNNNNCCGCGUAAUGCCCCGGGGUAACCCUGAGGCCUUCUGGACCCCCUCCCGAGGAGCCUCCAACACUGGCACAGGCGGCGCUACUAAAGGAGAGGCGCCACAAAGAACAAGAGGCCCCGAAGGCUGCUGCACAGCUGCGAGCGUCAGCACCUUCAGAGGCCGGGGAUCCUUGGAGGCCAGUUCUCCAUGCAACGGCGUCCCCACGCUCACCAGAGGAUGCUUCGGGGGCUCGGGGGGCUUGACGACCAAGGCCAGGGAGGCCGCCCAAAGAUCCCCUCCUCCUCCUCCUUACCCGUAGACGGUGAUGUGUCGACAAGGGCAGGCGGGGCAUCGAGAGACGCCUUCGGCCUAGCAACCGUCUUCUUCUUCUUCGGCGUGAGACCAAAUCAGCGUUCGCCCAUGCUCACUGGACUCACCCACGGUCCAUGGAAGCACCGAGACGAGAUCCGCCUCCUUGGAGAGGGCGCAGUCCAGGAGCGGAGAAGUUGGGGCCAGGCCAUGCCCCUCUGGCUUAUACUUGCCGGUGGUGCCAUCGCUGGAUUGUCGAGUAACUAUGCGACACUGGAUCUGGGAGGCAUCGGCCGGAGUCAAAGGCUUAAGAAGAAAGACGAGUGCGGUAAAAGGAAGGCAAUAAGGCACCGAAGCUACAAGCAGGGCACCUAAUAAAGGGGGCAGAGAUAGAGGACAAGGAGGCAUGGACGCCAUCCGCGUGUCGUGCGCCGGCCUGGACCAUAGGUGUUUGAGGGCCCACGACGUCUCAUGCUACCCCUCAAGGCUCCUCCCUGAAGCCAACCCGAGCACACCGCAUGUCCGGCGGCUACUGUCGGCCUUCUGGGACUCGGGGUACCCAGACCUGCCUGCCUGUGGCCCAGGACGGGCCCGCUUCACUAGAGUGACGCAACAAGCCCAGUGAUAACCCACAAGUAUAAGGGAUCACAACAGUUUUCGAGGGUAGAGUAUUCAACCCAAACAUAUUGAUUCGACACAAGGGGAAGCCAAAGAAUAUUCUCAAGUAUUAGCAGUUGAGUUGUCAAUUCAACCACACCUAAAAGACUUAGUAUCUGCCGCAAAUCUAUCAGUAGCAAGGUAGUGUGAUAGCAACAGUAACCAGUAGCAACAAAGUGACAGCAGUGGUGACAGAGUAACAGUAGCAGCAGUAACAACAGUAGCGGCAAAGUAACGUAGCAAGGACCAGUAGGAAAAACUCGUAGGCAUUGGAUCAGUGAUGGAUGAUUAUGCCAGAAGGUAUUCAUCAUGCAACAGUUAUAACACGGNNNNNNNNNNNNNNNNNNNNNNNNNNNNNNNNNNNNNNNNNNNNNNNNNNNNNNNNNNNNNNNNNNNNNNNNNNNNNNNNNNNNNNNNNNNNNNNNNNNNCUUAAUGCUUAAUAUGUAAGCAGCCUCUCCUAGGUAAUUCGUUGAAAAACAUUAGUUCAAGUAAUCCUUUACACUCUCUAAAAACUCCACAUUGUUUUCAAUCAGCAAUAUGUCAUCCACAUAUAACAUUAGAAACGCUACAGAGCUCCCACUCACUUUCUUGUAUAUAGAAGAUUCUCCAACAACUUGUAUAAUCCCAAAUGUCUUGAUCACCUCAUCAAAGCGUUUAUUCCAACUCCGAAAUGCUUGCACCAGUCCAUAAAUAGAUCGCUAGAGCUUGCAUACUUUGCUAGCAUUCUUUGGAUCGACAAAACCUUCGGAUUGCAUCAUAUACAAGUCUUCCUUAAGAAACCAUUAAGGAACCCCAUUUUGACAUCCAUCAUCAUAUACAAGUCUUCCUUAAGAAACCAUUAAGGAACACCAUUUUGACAUCCAUCUGCCAAAUUUCAUAAUCGAAAUAUGCAGCAAUUGCUAACAUGAUUCGGACGGACUUAAGCAUCGCUACCAGUGAUAAUGUAUCAUCGUAGUCAACAACUUGAACUUGUGAAAAUACUUUUUCCACAAGUCGAGCUUUAUAAAAGGUCACAUUACCAACCGCGUCCGUCUUCUUGAAGAUCCAUUUGUUCUGAAUAGCCUUGCAACCUUCAGGUAAUACUUCCAAAGUCCACACUUUGUUUUCAUACAUAGACCCUAUCUCGGAUUUCAUGGCCUCUAGCCAUUUAUUGGAAUCAGGGCCCACCAUUGCUUCUUCAUAAUUCGCAGGCUCGUUGUUGUCUAACAACAUGAUAGAUAAGACAGGAUUUCCGUACCACUCAGGAGCAGUACGUGAUCUGGUCGACCUGCGAGGUCCGAUAGUAACUUGAUCCGAAACUUCAUGAUCACCAUCAUUAGCUUCCUCCUCAACCGGUGUUUCCUCGACACAGAUUUCCCUCUGCCCCGCGCCACCAUCUUGAGCGAGCAGAGGUUCCAAAACCUCAUCAAUUCUUUCGAGAGAAACUAUUUCUCAAGAAAAGCUUCGUUCUUAGAAACAAACACUUUGCCCUCGGAUCUGAGAUAGAAGGUGUACCCAACUGUCUCUUUUGGACAACUAUGAAGACGCACUUUUCCGCUUUGGGUUCCAGCUUUUCAGGCUGAAGCUUUUUGACAUAAGCAUCGCAUCCACAAACUUUAAGAAACGACAACUUUGGCAUCUUGCCACACCAUAGUUCAUAUGGUGUCGUCUCAACGGAUUUUGAUGGUGCCCUAUUUAAAGUGUAUGCAGAUGUCUCUAAUGCAUAACCCCAAAACGAUAAUGGCAAACCGGUAAGAUACAUCAUAGAUCGCACCAUAUCUAACGAAGUAGGAUUACGACGUUUGGACACACCAUUACGAUGUGGUGUUCCAGGCGGUGUCAACUGUGAAACAAUUCCAAAUUGUCUUAAGUGAGCACCAAACUCAAAACUCAGAUAUUCGCCCCCUCGAUCAGAUCAUAGGAACUUAAUCUUCUUGCUACGAUGAUUUUCAACUUCACUUUGAAAUUGCUUGAAGUUUUGAAAUGUUUCAGACUUGUACUUCAUCAAGUAGAUAUAUCCAUAGCUACUCAAAUCAUCAGUGAAGGUGAGAAAAUAACGAUAUCCGUAGCGCGCCUCCACACUCAUUGGCCCGCACACAUCAGUAUGUAUGAUCUCCAACAAGUCACUUGCACGCUCCAUUGUUCCGGAGAAUGGAGUCUUAGUCAUCUUGCCCAUGAGGCAUGGUUCGCACUUGUCAAGUGAUUCGAAAUCAAGUGACUCCAAAAUUCCAUCAGCAUGGAUUUUCUUCAUGCGCUUUACACCAAAAUGACCUAAGCAGCAGUGCCACAAAAAGGUUGCGCUAUCAUUGUUAACUCUACAUCUUUUGGUCUCAAUGUUAUGGAUAUGUGUGUCAUCAUAAUCAAGAUUCAAUAUGAACAAACCCCUCACAUUUGGUGCAUGACCAUAAAAGAUAUUACUCAUAAAAAUAGAACAACCAUUNNNNNNNNNNNNNNNNNNNNNNNNNNNNNNNNNNNNNNNNNNNNNNNNNNNNNNNNNNNNNNNNNNNNNNNNNNNNNNNNNNNNNNNNNNNNNNNNNNNNAACACAGUUUUGAACUCAAAAGGACAUGCAUAUAUUUGAGCCACCCAAUGCAAGGAACAAAAGAUUUGGUGUCCACCGGAAAAAAAUAUUCACAAUUCCAUCGAAUGUUGUUAGUGCUGGAUGCCACAUUUGUAGAAAAAUCAGGCUCAGACUUGUGAGAAGGAGAUAUACCUCACUCAUGAUGAUCUAUCACGCACAGCUAAGCCGAUAGAUAAGAAAUUAAUUGGCGACCGUAUUGUCGGAUUUCGGGCUCCACAAAGCCCUAAGGAUCCGAACANNNNNNNNNNNNNNNNNNNNNNNNNNNNNNNNNNNNNNNNNNNNNNNNNNNNCUAAGGAUCCGAACACUGGGGCGUGUAUGAAGAUCUCCCCUGCUUCGCCUCGCAUGUCUCACUACUCGAUGGAAACAAUGAAGGACUCACUCGAAGGUUCAGGCCGCUGCGAAGCAUAAAACACUACACCUGCUUUGAUGGAUUGCCUCUCUCUGAGGUUGAGGAACGAGAUGGUACACGACUUUUGCGCCUCCAGAGGCCAAGUGGCUAAGCGUGCUGCUCUAGGGUUUCGAUCCCCUCUCUCAACUAUCCUACCCUAUCUAUUUAUAGUGGAGGCCCGGGUCCUCUUCCCUNNNNNNNNNNNNNNNNNNNNNNNNNNNNNNNGGGUCCUCUUCCCUCUUAGCUUUGGCGGGAAGGGAUUCCACAACGACCAAUUUUGAAGGGGAACAUGCUCCCCUAACAAGAGAUGGUCUUCACCUGCAAAGUAAUUGUCCACCCCAUAGAGACCGGCUCGUGGAUGACGUUUGCCCUACUGGCGGGAGACUGCGGCUUUGUUGCACCAGAAGAUAAACCUUUGGGGGAUGCCUUUGGGAAGCAUGUACGCCCCACCUCCUUUGCACCAAAGGGGAAACUAUCUCGUCCUGCCAUAUGCUGCUCGCCUAUCCUUCCCUGGUGUCACCCUUGACUGCCGAGGACCGGCCCUGCCUCGUAAUAUCCACCAAUCCGGACGGGUCCUGAAGAGGCCCCCCUACGGGUCUUGACGCUGCUCCUCCUCAUGAGGCUUAGCUCCUCACGAGGGCCUGCCCUUAAGCCGUGCUGGGUGAUACGUCUCCAUCGUAUCUACUUUUCCAAACUCUUUUUCCCUUGUUUUGCACUCUAGUUUGCAUGAUUUGAAUGGAACUAACCCGGACUAAUGUUGUUUUCAGUAGAAUUGUCAUGGUGUUGUUUUUGCGCAGAAAUAAAAGUUCCCGGAAUGACCUGAAAAUUUACGAAGAAUUUUUUGUGGAAUAUAUAAAAAAUACUAGCGCAAGAAUCAACCGAAGAAGUGGAGCGUGGAGCCCACAAGCCCACCAGGCGUGCCCCCCUGGCCGCGCCUAACAGGUUUGUGGGGCCCACAUUGCUCCACCGCCUCCCAUUCCACCNNNNNNNNNNNNNNNNNNNNNNNNNNNNNNNNNNNNNNNNNNNNNNNNNNNNNNNNNNNNNNNNNNNNNNNNNNNNNNNNNNNNNNNNNNNNNNNNNNNNGAGCACAUACUCAAAAUGUUUGGGUUACACGGUCGUCUGACUUCACUUGGAGUCGAACUUCCGGAUGAUGCUAUAAUUGACUGAAUCCUCCAGUCUCUCCCAUCAAGCUACAAAGGCUUUGUGCUUAACUACAACAUGCAAGGGAUGGAGAAGACCAUUCCCGAGUUGUACUCGAUACUCAAGUCUGCAGAAGUAGAAAUCAAGAAAGAGCAUCAAGUGUUGAUGGUCAACAAGACCACUAGUUUCAAGAAGGGCAAGGGUAAGAAGAACUUCAAGAAAGACGGCAAAGCUGUUGCUGCGCCCGGUAAGCCAGAUGCUGAGAAGAAGAAAAAGAAUGGACCCAAGCCUGAGACUGAGUGCUUCUAUUGCAAGGGAAAAGGUCACUGGAAGCGGAACUGCCCCAAAUACUUAGCGGACAAGAAGGCCGGCAACGUUAAAGGUAUAUGUGAUAUACAUGUUAUUGAUGUGUACCUUACCAGCGCUCUUAGUAGCUCCUGGGUAUUUGAUACCGGUGUUGUUGCUCACAUUUGCAACUCAAAGCAGGAACUGCGGAAUAAGCGGAGACUGGCCAAGGACGAGGUGACGAUGCGCGUCGGGAAUUGUUCAAAGGUCGAUGUGAUCGCCGUCGGCACGCUACCUCUACAUCUACAAUCGGGAUUAGUUUUGAACCUUAAUAAUUGUUAUUUAGUACCAGCUUUAAGCAUGAACAUUGUAUCAGGGUCUUGCUUAAUGCGAGACGGCUACUCAUUUAAGUGAGAGAAUAAUGGUUGUUCUAUUUAUAUGAGUGAUAUGUUUUAUGGUCAUGCUCCGCUGGUAAAUGGUUUAUUCUUGAUGAAUCUCGAUCGUGAUGUUACACAUAUUCAUAGUGUGAGUACCAGAAAAUGUAAAGUUGAUAAUGAUAGUCCCACAUACUUGUGGCACUGCCGCCUUGGUCAUAUCAGCGUUAAGCGCAUGAAGAAGCUCCAUACAGAUGGACUAUUAGAGUCUCUUGACUUUGAAUCAUUUGACACAUGCGAACCGUGCCUCAUGGGCAAGAUGACUAAGACUCCAUUCUCAGGAAUAAUGGAGAGAGCAACCGACUUAUUGGAAAUAAUACAUACCGAUGUGUGUGGUCCAAUGAACGUUGAAGCUCGCGGUGGUUAUCGUUAUGUUCUCACUCUCACCGAUGAUUUGAGUAGGUAUGGGUAUAUCUACUUGAUGAAGCACAAAUCUGAGACGUUUGAAAAGUUCAAGGAAUUUCAGAGUGAGGUUGAGAAUCAACGUGACAGAAAAAUUAAAUGUCUACGAUCUGAUCGUGGAGGAGAAUAUUUGAGUCACGAGUUUGGCACACACCUAAGGAAGUGUGGAAUCGUUUCACAACUGACGCCNNNNNNNNNNNNNNNNNNNNNNNNNNNNNNNNNNNNNNNNNNNNNNNNNNNNNNNNNNNNNNNNNNNNNNNNNNNNNNNNNNNNNNNNNNNNNNNNNNNNCAUUGUGAUCUAUUUAUUCACACAUGUAUUACUGUUUCCUGUUAAUACAAUUAUAGCAUGAACAAUAGACGAUUAUCAUGAACAAGGAAAUAUGAUAAUAACCAUUUUAUUAUUGCCGCUAGGGCAUAUUUCCAACAGUCUCCCACUUGCACUAGAGUCGAUAAUCUAGUUACAUUGUGAUGUAUCGAACACCCAUAGCAUUAUGGUGUUGAUCAUGUUUCGCUCGUGGAAGAUGUUUAGUCAACGGGUCUGCAAUAUUCAGAUCCGUGUGUACUUUACAAAUAUCUAUCACUCCACUCUGGACAUGGUCCUGGAUGGAGUUGUAGCGGCAUUUGAUGUGCUUUGUCUUCCGGUGAAAUCUGGGUUCCUUGGCUAUGGCAAUGGCCCCAGUGUUAUCACAGAAGAGUGUCAUUGGACCCGACGCGCUUGGAACCACUCCAAGGUCGGUGAUGAGCUCCUUCAUCCAAAUUCCUUCAUGAGCUACUUUUGAAGAAGCUAUGUACUCCGCUUCACAUGUAGAUGCUGCCACGACUUCUUGCUUGCUACUGCACCAGCUCACCGCCCCACCAUUCAACACAUAUACGUAUCCGGUCUGUGACUUAGAGUCAUCCGGAUCUGUGUCGAAGCUAGCGUCGACGUAACCCUUUACGACGAGCUCUUCGUCACCUCCAUAAACGAGAAACAUUUCCUUAGUCCUUUUCAUGUACUUAAGGAUAUUCUUGACCGCUGUCCGGUGCUCCAUACCGGGAUCACUUUGGUACCUCCCUACCAAGCUUAUGGCAAGGUUUAUAUGAGGUUGGGUACACAGCAUGGCAUACAUUAGAGAGCCCACGGCUGAUGCGUAGGGGACAUAACUCAUCUUCUCUCUAUCUGCUGCCGUGGUCGGCGACUGAGUCUUAGUCAAUCUCAUAGCUUGCAAAACUGGCAAGAACCCUUUCUUUGAGUUUUCCAUAUUGAACUUCAAUAUCUUGUCAAGGUAUGUACUUUGCGAAAGACCUAUGAGGCAUCUCGAUCUAUCUCUAUAGAUCUUGAUGCCUAAUAUGUAUGCAGCUUCUCCAAGGUCCUUCAUUGAAAAACUCUUGUUCAAAUAGGCCUUUAUGCUCUCCAACAUCUCUAUAUUAUUCCCCAUCAAUAAUAUGUCAUCCACAUACAGUAUGAGGAAAGCUACAGAGUUCCCACUCACUUUCUUGUACAGUCAGGCUUCUCCGUAAACCUGUAUGAACCCAAACGCUUUAAUCACCUCAUUAAAGCGAAUGUUCCAACUCCGAGAUGCUUGCACCAGCCCAUAGAUGGAGCGCUGGAGCUUGCACACUUUGCUAGCACCCUUAGGGUNNNNNNNNNNNNNNNNNNNNNNNNNNNUUGCUAGCACCCUUAGGGUCGACAAAACCUUCUGGUUGCGUCAUAUACAACUCUUCCUUAAGGUUCCCGUUAAGGAACACUGUUUUGACGUCCAUUUGCCAAAUUUCAUAAUCAUAAAAGGUGACAAUUGCUAACAUGAUUCGGACUGAUUUCAGCUUCGCUACGGGAGAGAAAGUCUCUUCGUAGUCAACUCCUUGAAUUUGUCGAAAACCCUUUGCGACAAGUUGAGCUUUGUAAAUGGUUACAUUACCGUUUGCAUCAGUCUUCUUCUUGAAGAUCCAUUUACUUUCUAUGGCUCGCCGCUCAUUGGGCAAUUCCACCAAAGUCCAUACUUUGUUCUCACACAUGGAUCCUAUCUCGGAUUUCAUAGCCUCAAGCCAUUUGUUGGAAUCCGGGCCCGCCAUCGCUUCUUCAUAGUUCGAAGGUUCACCGUUGUCUAACAACAUGAUUUCCAUCACAGGGCUGCCGUACCACUCUGGUGCGGAGCGUGCCCUUGUGGACCUUCGCGGUUCAGUAGUAACUUGAUCCGAAGCUUCAUGAUCAUCAUCAUUAACUUCCUCUUCAGUUGGUGUAGGCGCCACAGGAACAACUUCCCGCGUUGAGCUACUAUCCUGUUCGAGAGGGGGUGUAAUUACCUCAUCAAGUUCUACCUUCCUCCCACUUACUUCUUUCGAGAGAAACUCUUUCUCUAGAAAGGAUCCGUUCUUGGCAACAAAGGUUUUACCUUCGGAUCUAAGNNNNNNNNNNNNNNNNNNNNNNNNNNNNNNNNNNNNNNNNNNNNNNNNNNNNNNNNNNNNNNNNNNNNNNNNNNNNNNNNNNNNNNNNNNNNNNNNNNNNGUGAUAGUGAUGAUGAUGAUGCAUUUAUUGAUGAUGAUUAUUAGUUUGUAAGAUUCACAACUUAAAUUAUAUAUAUUUUAAUCUUUAUUAUUCAUGUACAUAUUAUUAUUCAUGUCAGUUAUUCAAUUUUUUUAUGUUGUACUAAUUUCUUUUAAUCUUUAUCAUGGCAGGUCACCUGGUGUUGAAAGAUGGUGGGCGCUGGUCCAGAGCGCUCGACGGGUUCUUCCCAGCCGCCCCGCACGAGGGGUGGUACUUCCCUUCCACCCCUAUGUCUCCGUAGAGCCUUGGCAGACAGUCUGUCGACACCACCCGUGGGUUCUUCUUCGUCGGCGGCAUUGCCCACUGGGAGAGGUGCUCUUCGGGUAGGGAAGAAGGGGAAGGGUACAUGGAGAGGUGGUGGCCACGGAAGAUCCAGGAGGACUGUUGAGCCGUCCUCGCCACCACCACCAGCUCAUUCACCCGAGCAUACGACUACUAUGGUCGACCCGUUUGCGGAAGAGGCUACGGGGACUCCGGUCUAGGAGCGUGGUGUUGACGGGCAUUCGUCCCAUGAGACUCCGGUCCAGGAUCAGCCUCGGGUCGAGGUGCAUUCGUCCCACGAGACUACGUUUCCGGAGGCUUCACCCGACGUGGAGAGGCCCGGAUGGGAUACCUGGCCGGAUCGGACCGAGUUGCCGGAUUGGACCGAGGGUCCGAGUGGCUCAGGGGGCUGGGAUGGCGGGGAUGAGUUUACGGAUAGUGAGGGCGAUGUGCAGGUGGACGGGGCCACCGUGUACAAGAGUGGUAGUACACGUCUCCCGGUCGUGCCGGCUACCCGCGAGCAGAGGCCGGUGAUUAAACCUGAAGGAGAUAGGUAAGUACAUUUACUCUUUUUUAGCUUUUGCCUUCAAGUUUGUUCAAAUAUCUAAUGUGUUGACCUUAUCAUACUGCAGGGGAUGGGUACACCCUAUUGGAGUCCGCAGGCCGAACUCCGUCCUUGGUGUGCUUUGCCGGACAAAUUUCCCGGGGUUUGUCACGUUGCUUGGUGAGGGUCAGGUUCCUACACUAGGAUUUUCCUGGGAGCACUACCAGGCUGCGCAAGCCCCGCCGGAAGAGAUUAUAGAUGGUGUCUUGUGACACACGAGGGUCGAGAUGGUGAUCAAGAGCUUUUGGGUAAAUUAUCCUUUUACACAAUCUAAAAUUAACAAGAUAAGUAAUUAUUGUACUAAUCGGUGUUUUCACGUUUGAUUGCAGACCUUCUAUAGGUGUGAGGAUGGAUAUGAGGAGGAGGCGGCCAAGGUUCUCGAGGCCGAGUGUAGGCGGUUACUACAGAACUUAUGCCACGAGGCUCGGCCGCAGGCUAUUCGAGACUACUAUGCCACGCGUGGUAUUAAGAAGCAGAAGAAGGAUUGCCGCGGAAAGUUUCUGAAGAAGGAGCAAUACAUGAAGGUAAUUACCUAUUCUUAAGUCCUUAUACGUAGUUUUCUUGAUUUCAUUCAUAGGCGUAGCGCUCAAAAUUCUUUCUAAUAACUUACAGGUGCCCCCGAGAUGGUGUGCGGAUAAGAUGGAUUGUUGGGAGGCGUUGGUUGAUGAGUGGUGCACAGGCAGCUGGCGAGCCGUCCACGAGAAUGCGAAGGAUCGGCAUAGCCAAAUGGUUGGUGUGCCACACCAUCAAGGCAACGCCAACUUACUUCAGUUUGGACGAAACUGGGUAUGUGAUUUGCUUCAUGAUUCAUGCAAUUCGUUCUUCAUGCUAGUGUUUUGAUCCUCUCUUUUAGGCGCAUCACAAUAAUACGGAGAUGCCACACUUGUACGACCUUUAUGGCAUGGCCCAUACUGCCUCGUACAAGAAGGCGAAGGCAUUCUCUGAGUCUGACCUGGAUGAUCCCAAUAACUUCACCAACAUAUCAUCCCACCACAAGCUCGUGGCAUACAGGGACGCGGGGAAGGCUAUGAAAGGGGAUGACUUUAACCCUAGCCAGGAACCUUUGGAUCCAAAGCUGGUGAUGAUAUCUGGUGGCAGGAGGCCCCAUGGCUCGAUAGCCAUUGGAGCUGGGAUAAUACGUUGUCCACUCACUCUCCCGGAGAUCAAGGCGCGCCAGUCGAGCAGUUGUCCUGAGAUAACGCGUCGUCCACGGCCAGUCGAUCUUGCCAUCGAGGUUAGUUGUACGGACUAAGAACACUUUCAUCCAUUUCAUUAUGUGUGUCACCAUAGAUCAUUACUGUGGUAACUAGGAGUGGUGUUUCAGGCUGCUCUUCGGAAAGAGAGGUUGGCAAACUAGGCUGCUCUUGAGAAAGAGAGAUUGGCAAACCAGGCUGCUCUUGAGAAAGAGAGAUUGGCAAGCCAGGCUGCUCUUGAUGAGAGGGACCAGACCACGACACGAUUGAUUGAGGAGGAGAGGUCCCGAAAUGAGGCGGGUCAACGGGCCGUGUAUGAGCUUUUUGUGGUAAGUUUUUUUUCACAUUAGCCAAAUCAUGUGUGUAAUGUCUGUUUCAUUACUAACUAAUACGACCCACUCUUCACGGUCAGUGCGAGAUGAGCGGUCAAGUCCCUCCGUCGAUGCCCGUCUUCUCUUCGAUUAGCAUGGUGAGUUUUAUUAUAAACUAGUAUUAAUAAUUUAGUGUCAUCAUGCUAACUCAGACAUUGCAAAAUAUCUAUUCUGCAGAAUAACUCCCGAGCGGCAUCGCCCGACCCUUCUCCACGUAUUUCUCCUCCUUGAUGACCACUACGGUAAGUUUAUAUUCUCCUCUUUCAUAUAAUGACAUAGUUAGCUAAUUUAGCUCCAAGAAGAGGAGAAGAGGAGGAGGAGGAGAAGGAGGAGAAGGCCAAGGACCUUCUAGUCCUUCUCCUCGUCCUCCUCCUUCUCCUCCUUCUUCUUUAUUUCUUCUUCUCCUCCUCCUCCUCCUCUUUCUUCUCCUCUUUCAUAUUCUCCUUGCCUUAAUUUCCCCAACAAUGACAUAAUUAGCCCAUUUAGCUCCAAAAUGCCAUAAUAACCUCAAAAUGGCAUAAGAACCUUGGUUAGCUCAUUAAUAUUAUAUACUUAGCUUGUUUUCCUCUAAAAUGGGACAAUUAGCCCAUUUAGCUCCAAAAAUACAUAGUUAGCUAAUUUAGCUCCAAGAAGAGGAGAAGAGGAGAAGAAAUAGGAAAAAUGAAAAGAAAGAAGAAGAAGAAGAAGAGAAGAAGGAGAAGGAGGAGGAGGAGGAGGAGAAGAAGAAUAAAUAAAGAAGAAGGAGGAGAAGGCCAAGGACCUUCUAGUCCUUCUCCUCCUCCUCCUCCUUCUCCUCCUUCUUCUUUAUUUCUUAUUCUUCUUCUCCUCCUCCUCUUUAUUCUCGUCUUUCAUAUUAUCCUUGCCUUAAUUUCCCUAACAAUGACAUAAUUAGCCAAUUUAGCUCCAAAAAGACAUUAUAAGCUCAAAAUGGCAUAAGAACAUUGGUUAGCACAUUAAUAUUAUAUACUUAGCUUGUUUUCCUCUAUAAUGACAUAGUUAGCUAAUUUAGCUCCAAGAAGAGGAGAAGAGGAGAAAUGAAAAGGAAGAACAAAAAGAAGAAGAGAAAGAGAAGAGAAGGAGAAGGAGAAGAAGGAGGAGGAGAAGAAGGAGAAGGAGGAGGAGGAGGAGGAGGAGGNNNNNNNNNNNNNNNNNNNNNNNNNNNNNNNNNNNNNNNNNNNNNNNNNNNNNNNNNNNNNNNNNNNNNNNNNNNNNNNNNNNNNNNNNNNNNNNNNNNNGAGAAGGCCAAUGUGGCCGUCGAACGCUGCAAAGAGGUGGAAUCCCGCCUGAGCGCCCUCCAAGGGGAACAUGCCAAGCUAGUCGAGCAACGCCGCUCGAAGGAGGAGGAACUCAAGGCCUGUGAGGCCAAGCUUGCCGCCCGGGAGAGGGAGCUGUCCCGGGAGACGAACCGCCUGGGAGCAGAACAGGAGCUCUUGGUUGAGCGGGAGAAGGAUGCCACNNNNNNNNNNNNNNNNNNNNNNNNNNNNNGCGGGAGAAGGAUGCCACCACGAAGGAGGCUCUCCUUGAGGCCUGGGAGAAGGCCCUCGCCGCAGCCAAGGAAAAGAAGGCCUCCGAGCUGGCAUGCUUCCCCGACGUCGAGCUUGUGCUUCGCAAGGCGAUCCACUACCUCUGUCGGGGUGGGUUUGACGAGCCUCUGGCUACCCCGGAGGAAAGCAUUUCCAUGCUCGCGAAUGGGCUCGUCACAGCGCUGCGGGAUGCCGUCAUGCAGAUCGACAAGUCCUUGGCGAGUGAAUGCCACGACCUCUUCUUCGCGGUCGUGACUCGUGUCUUCAGCCACGUUCAUCUUCGCGACCCCGAAUUUGAUCUAAGCUUCGUGAUCAUGUGGUUCCUCCCAGGGCCCGCGACCGCGUCGUGGAGUCGGUGAAGGGUCUUGUGGAGGCGUUGGUGAGGAAGUUCGCCCGCGUCGUGCCCCCCUCGUCACCAGGUACCGCUAGAGGCGACGAUAGGGAAGACAAUGCCUCCGAUGUCGACGACCAGCCCCCUGUGGAGGGGGUGACCGACGGCGGCUCCUCUUGAUCUACUGCACUUGUUAUUUCUCUGCAAUGCACAUCGUGCCUCGUGGAGGCGUCAAACUUAUUUGUGUUUUUUAUGAACUGGGUCAUGGUCUGUAAUAAUUGAAUGCUCGAUUGUUUUCCUCGGCUUGUUCCUAUCAUUUUUUCCGUGUUUCUCUAUGUCGGCAAGGCCGGCCCUGCUCGUACCUUCCCGUGAUUGGACUGACCGGAAACCAAGGACAACCCAAAGGGGGAAGGGGCUAUGAGCGCAGUUAGGCUCCUGAGUCGCGAUGCUCAGGAAUCCCCCUUGACGCGCAAGCUCCUCUCAUGAGGAGGACGUGGUGAAGAUUCCGAAACUUAGAACAUUUUCAGCACUCUGUGUCGGGAGAGCCUGCCCCGCGCAUACCUCGCCGCGAUUGAACCAACCAGAAACCAAGGACGGCCCAAAGGGGGAGUGGCUAUGAGCGUAGUUAGGCCCGUGAGUCGUGAUGCUCAUGGGUGCCCCUUGACGUGCGAGCGACUCCGAUCCUCUUCGUAAGAAACCGAUGGUGUGAGACUCUCGAACUCCUUCAACACUCUGCAUCUGCAGGGCCCGCCCCACGCGUACCUCCCCGCAGUUGAGCCGACCUGAAAGGGGUGGCUAAAAAGGGAAAGGGGCUACGGGCACAGUUCAGGCUCCUGAGUCGCGAUGCUCAGGAGUCACACUUGACAUGCGAGUGACUCCAGCAUUCUUCCUAAGGGAUUUAAAGCGACUUGUUGAGCGCAUUGGGCUAUGUGUCCGCAGGGCCCGCCCCCUGCGUACCUUCCUGCGAUUGAACCGUCCAAGGACGGCCCAAAGAGCGAAGGGGCUACGAGCAUAGUUAGGCCGCUGAGUCGCGAUGCUCAGGGGUCCCCCUUGAUGUGCGAGCGGCUCCGUACCUUCAGUUGUUUGCCCACACGCUGGGUGUGGGCGGAGCUGUGGAUGUAUUGCGCUGAUCCCCUCGAUGGCCUUGGGUGUAGCCAUUGGCGGGCUGUGUUAAUGCCGGUUGAGGGCGUAGUCAUCGGCGGACUAUAUUGGUUGCCCAUGUAUGUACCCAGCGCGGAGCAUAGGUCUUCUACUAGGCAUAGGGUGGACCCCUCCGUGUCCUCGGGGGGCCCUGGGCGUAUAUAGCCUCGGCUCGUUAUUACGUUAGAGUGUCACGGUGGGGGUGUAUAUGGGAGGUCGCGAGAAAGAUAGGGCCUUGCAAGUGUCCCUACCCCGAGGCAUCGGGGCCUGAUCUUCUCCCCAGCGUGGAGCGUAGGUCUGCCACUCGGUAUAGGAUGGACCCCAACNNNNNNNNNNNNNNNNNNNNNNNNNNNNNNNNGACCCCAACGUGUCCUCGGGAGGCCUUGGGCGUAUACAGCCUCGGCUCGUUAUUACGUGAGAGAGUCACAGUGGGGUGUAUAUGGGAGGUCGUGAGGAUGCUAUGGCCUCGCGAGUGUCCCUACCCCCGAGUCAUUGGUGGACUGAAUUGACUUGGUUUGGGUCAUUGGCAAACCCUGCUCACUUCUUCUUUAGGAGAGGGGCUCCGCACCUGCACGAACAAACUUUGACCGGAGCCCCCAAGCGGGGGCCGAUCGCCCGACAAUAUAACCAAGGCGGAACGUUAGGAUGCCAAGCAGGUGCAAUUGAACAACCAAAUGAUGCAUAAACGAAAGUAGUAGCUGGGGAAAGUACAGAGCUCGGGGAGGCCGCAUGGCCCUGGGGUUACCUAUGGACUGGGCGAACCGAAAGGUUACCUGGCAGCGGCCAGCAAAAAGUUACCUAGCGGCCGAGCUGCUGAAGUGCCGGAGGCUCUGUUGUCGCUUGAUUUCCUGGAUCCGCAGUCGCGACCCUCACGGGUCCAUCGCCCCCCGAUCUAGGGGCCUUCGCUUGGCCCGAGCAUCUUCUCCUCCUCCUCGUGGCGCCCAAGCACGCAAGGGAGGAGAAUGGCCUGCUGGAGCCUCUGGUACGUGGCAGCCGCGUUCCUCAGCCCGGAGAGCAUGAAGGCUUCAGUGCUCGGGUACUCCCACCAGUAGCCAGUCUGCGUAGGACAGAAGGGGUCGUGCGCCAUGGCUGCGUUGGUUGCAGACGCGUUAAUGCAGAUGCGGGGCCGGUCAACUGUGCAGACAGCGGCGACUGCGAUGGGUGGUGCGGGGCAGUUACCGUGUCGCAUGGUCUGGGCCUCGAGAAGUUCUCGGAUUUCUUUGAUGACGGACUCGCGAGAUCUGGUCGAACGUGCUCCGGAGUGCGCCCUCGGGAUGUGCUCAGACACCGCCUCUGUCUCACUGAUCAGGCUAGGGGCCUCCCCGGUGGGAGCCCCCUAGCCCUGAUCUAAGAGGGACGCCGAGCGCACAUCCCUAUGCGAUGGGGGGCAGGGAUCCGUCCCCGAGCAUCGAACACAAAGCCCCGAGGCACUCCGCAGGGAGGAACUCCUUCUUGAGCGGGGCUUCGUGAGGCAGCUCGUCAUCUUCAUCAUUUGAGCGUUCUGACGUUGCCGCACGGUACGCUCUCUCCAGUGCGUAGACAUCAUCCUUCUCAUGACAGGGUAUGGUGAUGUCACCACCGCUUCCCGGCAUCUUGAGGACAUUCUAUCCAUGGUGGACCACGACCAUGAACUUGGCAAGCACUGGUUACCCGAGGAUGGCAUUGUAUGGCAGAUGGAUGUGCGCGACGUCGAAGAGGAUGACCUUGGUGUGAUAGUUGUGGCGCUCGCCAAAGGUGACGGGCAGGUGCACUUGCCCAAUGGGUACGGUGGAUCCCUUUGUUACCCCUGAGAAGGGCUUGGUCGGCAUGAGUUGCUCAUACGGCAGCUGGAGCUUCUCGAAGGUCUCGACUGAGAGGAUGUUGAGCCCAGCUCCACUCUCAAUGAGAGUCUUGGUGACGAGGACGUUGCUGAUAGUUGGGGUGCACAUCAUUGGGAGCUUGCCAGCCAGGAACGAGCACCUGAGCUGGUCGCUUGGGUCGAAAGCAAUGGUGGUCUGGGACUAGUUGAGGGGACGUAUCGCUUCAGGCCUCGGGAGGGCGACAUUCACCUCCUGGGACAACUGCAUGAAGGCGUGGUUGGAUGCUGGGGUCUGGGCACCACCCAGGAUGGAAGCUAGUGCCCUGGCAUUCUGGAAGCCCCCAGCCCUGUCGUCUUGCUUGUCUUCGUUCCUCCUCCUGGGCUGCAGGGGCAGCGAGGGCAGCCUGGUCUCUCGAGGGCGAGCCUCACGAGGUUGGCCGCUUCGCUGGCCCUCCUGAGGAUUAUCACGCCAGCGGUCCUCCUGAGGUUGGCCAUGCCAGGGGUCCUCCUGAGGCUUCUCAUGCCACCCCUGACGUGGCUCACGAUCAUCCCAGCGGACCCCAUUGCGGCCUCCUCCAUGCAGGGUUUCUGUAGAACUGUCCGGGAUCCUGUUGAAGUGUUUGGCAUGAACCAAACGUAGUUCUUGACAUUCAGAGGUGUCAUGGCCGAUGGUGCAAUGGAAGAUGCACGUCGGCCCUCCUCCAGAGGGGCGCUCUCCCCCCUCGAGUAUGCUUCGUUUCAGGCUCGGCGGCUAGUACCGCUGGGGCCUUGCGCUUCAGCUCCUUGGCUUUGGCCUUCUUCUCUUCUGGGUCCGCCGCCUGGGGCCCAAGGAGCGAUAGGCGUCCUUCUUCCGCCUUGGCGCACUUGCUUGCCAAGUUGAACAUCUCCAAUGCGGUGCUCAUUUCAUCGUUCAUGGCAAGCUCUUCCUUCAUCUUGAGGUCGGUGACUCCGUUGGAUAAAGACGAUACGACAGCCUCAUCCGACGCCUUAGGGAUCAUGAGGCGCAUGACAGUCAAACAUUGUAUGAACUUGUGCAGGUUAUCCACCUCUUGCUGCUUGACGCGCCGCAGGUCGAUCACGGUGGGAGCGCGGUCGCGGGUGCCCUGGAAGUUGGCGAUGAAGCGCUCACGCAAGCCGUCCCAGGAGGUAAUGGACGCCUUUGGGAGGUUGAGGAGCCAUGAAAGCGCGCCACCCUUGAGCGCCAUCGGGAACCAACAUGCCAUGAUCUUGUCGCCACCUCCUGCCGCCUUGAUGCUCAGUGUGUAGAGUUGCAGGAACUCUGUCGGGUCUUGGUUUCCGUCGUAACAUGGGGGCAGGUCGGGCUUGAACUUGCAGGGCCAUGUGCCGGGGUAGAUAUCGGGGGCGAUGGUGAAGCACCCCACCGGUCCAACAAGCACAGUACGCGCGGGGGCUGCCUGGUCUUGUUGUUCCUCAGGGUCUGCCUCGAGCAGAGCACGCUCCGGGCGCGAGAUCUACAACGCCAGGGGAGCGCACGCGUUGGCGCGGGGCCUGGGGAUCAUCUGGCAGCUUGCUUCAUCCCCGGGCCUCGCCCUGGGUUCACGCGGCCGAGCACGGAGUCGUGCUUCCUGCCCGGGCUCGGGGUCCGCGACAUGCCGCGGAGGCGAGUAUGGCGCGUCUUGCUCCUCGUUGUUCGUCAGGGACGGCUAGGGCCGGAGCAAGCAGGAGAGUGCCGCUGAGUCACCAGCGGCGGCGAUGAGUUCCUCGAUGCGAUGGAUCGAGUUGUCAUGGCGGUCUAGAGCUGGUCGGUAAGGGAGAAGCUCGGUGGUCAUGGCAAGCGGGCGGCGGCCAUGGGGCCUCCCUAGCCGAGCGCGGGAUGCCGACGCCGAAGGCCUGACGAGCGACGGCGUGGCGGUGCAGCUGUCGACAUGCUCAGUCGGAGGUUGGGAGCAGCCCUGUUGCUCUAGAGCUUCGGGGCUGGUAGCAGCAUUCACCACGGGUGACGGUGACCGACACGCACCGGCAGCACCGACGGGUGCGGUCCGGGCGAUGCGGGUGGCGCGAUGUUCCGCACGUACCCGGUGUGUAUCAGCCAUCAGAGCCAUGGAGUUUGGUGAGGACGGAGCUUGGAGUAAACCUCGACACGCCCCUACCUGGCACGCCAAAUGUUGGAUUUCGGGCUCUGCAAAACCCUAAGGACUCAAACACUGGCGCGUGUACAAAGAUCUCCCCUUCUUCGCCUCGCCUGUCUCACUACUCGAUGGAAACAAUGAAGGACUCACUAGAAGGUGAGGAGAACACAGAACCCAGCAACUUACCCAGGUUCGAGCCGCUAUGAAGCGUAAAACCCUAAUACUGCUUUGGAGGAUUGCCUCUCUUCAAGGUUGAGGAACGAGAUGGUACAUGGCUUUUGCGCCUCCGGAGGCCAAGUGGCUAAGCGUGCUGCACUAGGGUUUCGAUCCCCUCUCUCAAGUAUCUGUUGGGCAAGGUUGCAUGGGAAACAAAAAAAUUCCUACGCACACGAAGACCUAUCAUGGUGAUGUUCAUCUACGAGAGGGAGGUCAUAUCCACAUACCCUUGUAGAUCGCUAAGCACGAAGUGUUAAGAAAUGUAGUUGAUGUAGUGGAACAGCUUUGUGAUUCAAAUCACCAUUGUCCCACGAUCCGUCCCGAUCUAGUACCGAACGGACCACACCUCUGCGUUCAGCGCACGUACAGCUCGAUGACGAUCUCUGCCUUCUUGAUCCAGCAAGAGAGACGGGGAUGUAGAUGAGUUCUCCGGCAGCGUGAUGGCGUGCUGGUGAUGGUGAUGAUCUAUUCCUACAGGGCUCCGCCCGACCUCCGCAAAAAACCGAUCUAGAGGAAGAACUACGAAGUAGAGGUUUAGGGUUUCAUGUGGCAAAGUUUUUUCUCAAGAACACUAAAAUCUCUAGUAUAUAUAGUAGGAGGGGAGGGGCUAGCCUUGGGGAUCAAGAGAGCCCCUAGGGCGUCGGCCGAGUGGAGGAGGAGGGACUCCCACUCCAAUUCGGUUUGGGAAGGAGGAGUCCCUUCCUUCCUUCCCACCUCCCUCUUUUUUUUCUCCUUUGAUUUUUCCUCUUGGACGAAAUAGCCCUAUUAGGCUGGCCUCACCAGCCCACCAAGGGCUGGUGCGCCACCCAUGGCCUAUUAGGUUCUCUCCCGGGUGGGUGGCCCCCUCCCGGUAAAAACCCGGAACCCAUUCAUCACUCCCGGUACACUGCCGGUAAUGCCCGAAAUCUUUCCGGAAGCCAAAUGAAACAAUCCUAUAUAUCAAUCUUCGUUUCCGGACCAUUUCGGAAACUCACUUGAUGUCUGUCAUCUCAUCCGGGAGUCCCAACAAACCUUCGGUCGCCAACACCUAUAACUCAACUAUACUGAAACGUCACCGAACCUUAAGUAUGCAGACCCUGCGGGUUCGAGAACAAUGCAGACAUGACCUGAGACACUCCCUGAUCAAUAUCCAAUGGAGGGACCUGGAUGUCCAUAUUGGAUCCUACAUAUUCUACAAAGAUCUUAUCAGUUGAACCUCUGUGCCAAGGAUUCAUAUAAUCCCGUAUACCAUUCCCUUUGUCCUUCGGUAUGUUACUUUCCCGAGAUUCGAUCGUCGGUAUCCCUAUACCUAUUUAAAUCUCGUUACCGGCAAGUCUCUUUACUCGUUCUGUAAUACAAGAUCCUGUGACAAACACUUUAGUCACAUUUCUUGCAAGGCUUAUAUGUGAUGUUGUAUUACCGAGUGGGCCCCGAGAUACCUCUCCGUCACANNNNNNNNNNNNNNNNNNNNNNNNNNNNNNNNNNNNNNNNNNNNNNNNNNNNNNNNNNNNNNNNNNNNNNNNNNNNNNNNNNNNNNNNNNNNNNNNNNNNAGCAUGUUUUCUCGAGCCAUGUUGGUACAUGAACAUGGACAUACACAUAUUCUUAGGAACAAAUAAGAAAGAUAAAUGGAGAAGGAAAACCCAAAGCAAUGUCAGAGUUGACAAAACUGCAAUGGCACUUUAUAUGUGGCCCAUCGUCAGUGAGCUGUUUAUGCCUUGCCGGACUCCUCGCAGCCUGGUGGCUUGAAGGCGAUGAAGCUGACGCACUGCACCUGACGCAUGUUGUCGAAUCCGAUGAUGCGGACAUACGCGUCAGGGUACUCCUUCUUGACCUCCUCCACCUCGUUGAGCACCUGUGUGGCGUCGGUGCAUCCGAACAUAGGCAGCUUCCACAUUGUCCAGUACCGGCCAUCGUAGUACCCAGGAGAUGCGUUGUGCUCACGGAAGAUGAACCCAACCUUGCUGAACUCGAGGCAAGGCACCCACUUGGAGCGGAUCAGGUAGUCGACCUGCUUAAGGAGGGCCUCCGUGCUGAGUGGUGGCAAGUAAGACAGGGUCUCGAACUUCUUGAUGCCCUCGAUGGGCCACACCUGCAAAUCAGAUUCACGUCUAUACAUUAAGAGACUAUAACUCUAGUUCUACACGUUUGAUUGUUCUUCUUGACAUCCGUCGGCUUAAAAAUGACUAGAAAGACAGAGACGAUGUUGUUUACCUGCAUGCACCUGAUCCUUCCACCGUUGCUGACGCUGCCGAGGCUAGCACCGUUCGAGCGGCGGCUGACGGGGAGGCCGGCGGUGGACUUGAGCCCCUGGAAAGGAGCGACGGAGGUGGCCGACGAGGCCAUCACGGUGGGGGCCAUAGCUGUACUAUGUAGGUAUAUAGCUUGCUAGAGGGAGGCACACUGGCUUGAGGACUG